rnacentral:lncRNA from 1 species
AAACAAAAUGUGCCAUAUUUUAAGGAACGGAUGGAGUAUCUUUUUUAAUUUGAUCUCACUUAUGUUGUGUGCGAAAAAUCUCACUUGAUUUUGAAAUCUUAUCUUCAUGGCAUUAUGAGGAUGAGGAUUAUGUAUUGUUAUUGUUAUUUCAUUAAAUACCAUUUAUACAGUUAUCAAGAAGAUUAUGUUUCACAUUGAUUAUAAAAGUUUAAAGACAUUAAAUAUAUACAUACAAAUCGAUUUCUUGUUUAUCUCCUAUUAAUUUGAUGGAGUAUCACAACCAAUAUUGGGUCACGGAUACCUUGCAUGUUUAUGCGAAUUGAUAUUUGUUGAUUUCAUAUUCAUGCACUGCUUUCUUCCGUUGUCGUGUCUUCUGACCUCACACCGUUGUAUUUUUUUUCUUUUUUCUAGAAUACACCGAAGCAAGCUUGUGCCAACUGCCAAGACAUGUUAAAGAUAGUAACCGAAUUUUGCAUCGAACAUUGGAUAUCCUGACAUAGAUACGAAUUGAUGGUUUCUAUCUCAUAUCAGAUAAUACACUAGCUAAAUGUGUGUGUUGAUACGGAAUCAAAGAUGUACUAUAUGUACAUAGAUGUGAUUUUUAAACUACUUAUGUGCUCGUAAUUUUCAUUUUAUGAUAUGAUAAGAUUUUUCUCAAAUAUUUUUUUUGAGAUAAUAAUUACUCAAAAAUAUACGUCAAACCAAUCAACUAUGAUAAAGAAAUCACAUAACAUACAAGUACCACAUUGAAUGGGUGGCAUGCUUGCAAUCUAUCGUGUGGCAGGACUUACCUUGUAUGCGGUUGGUUCUCAUGACCCUACUUCAUACCACUUUCACUUUUUAUUUUAUUGAAACUGAAAAUAGAAAAGCAUAAGAGCCUCGAGAGAUGAAAGAUUAGAGAAUUAUUAGGACGUUGUUGACCGUUCUUAACCUAAGAAGAACAUACGGAACUGGUAGAUUUCCUAGCGUGUUUGGUGUUGAUCGUUACCUUCUGUGUGAAUCCGGUGUAUCCAUAAUGUGUUUGAGGCUUUUCUCGGAGAAGAAAUUAAACAAUGACGGUAUCUCAGCAUGGGCUAACUCUAUGCCAGCCGACACAGUAAGACACGUGAUAAUGCAUAGCCCCUGCUUUAGGGAGGGCUAAACGGGGAGACCCGAGAACAGAUAGGCAUGUCUCAUCUUUUCCUCGAUUGGUUGCGUUUAGGAUCCUCGCGCUCAAGAUAGUAAUAUCGAUCGUGAUGGCCAUUUGCCUACGUGGCUAGGUAGCUCUUGUCCUGAUUUCAUGGCAAGGGGUUUGACCCAAAUGCAUGCAUGCAUGGCGAGGCCAACUCUGUGAAGCAGAAAACUGAUCGCCGUACGGCCGUACCACGCAUGGGUGCUGAGUGAAUUCAUCGUUGCACAUGCUGAUCGAUCUCCCUUUUGUUGUCGUUGGGGCCAGCGAGGCAUACGGCUCACUACUUAUCCAUUUAAUUACUUCACGGGCCUUUGACCUGAUCGAUCCCAAAAUAUCUCAACAACACGGGGCAUCUCACGUUCCGGCCCCCAACAUUCACGGCCGGAUCAAUAGUCGAGAUAAUCAAUGGACAGGACUCAGGAGGAGUCGGAGAAGCCACCAGUGGCGUACGUUGGUCCAAAAACUGGAGAGCCGGUGUCGUGUCGAGCUCCGUGUCGCCCGUUGCGCACGAACCACAGGUCCGGCAGGGAAGGCCCCCUUUGACGUGCGCGCGGCCGUGGUGGGCGCCGGCGGGCGCGUAGUUGUCAACUUUGAGGCGGUGCACACGCGCGGAUGGAACAGAAAGCAGCGCACGGGCCCGCGCUUUCAUGUUGCGCUUGCGCUUGCGCGCCGAGGCCUUGAGAUGCCGAGCUUUACAUUAUUGGAUCACGGCUCUCCGUCACUCUCUUUUGGUUCGGAUUUCCUUUUCCCACCUCAUCACGUGCGGCGGACGCGGGGCGGAGGCAGGUGGCGCCUGGCGAUCGCCGGGGCCGGAGCGGAAGCGGAUCGGUUGCUGUUCAAUCAUAGGAAACGGGGGUAAACUGUCGGUGUGGUCGCUCGAGGACUGAGGUGUAAAGGGGCACGGGUGGGCUGCUUGGGGCUGAUGGGUCUCGGUCAUUCGGUGCGGAUCCAGGUCACGUGUGGCCGUGUGGGUAACCUUCCCUUUAGGCGAGGGAACGUGGAGAUGGGGACGCUGUCCAGCGGAUUGUGCUCUGAUUCGCGAGGCUACCUCGAAAGAUUGGAAUAUUUCCGGUCGGGGCCCAAACAAAGCAUCAUCCUAAACUCGAGACCGAAAGAGCGACCAAUCUAAACUUAAGCUGCAGCUUACUCCUGAAAGAAAAACUCCAGCUGCAACUUGCAAGUUCCUCUGUAUUGUGCAUAUAAAAAAAAUUCUUUCACAUGAAAACAAUUCGUAGUGCAAUUCCAGUGUUAUUAGUACUCCUCUGACUCUAAAUUCUUGAACUCAAAUUUGUCAAAAUAUGGAUAUAUCUAUUUUUUUAAAACGUCUAGAUACAUAUAAUAUUUCGACAACAAUUUAGAAUCGGAGAAAGUACAUGGUAUUAUUGUACAAUAAUACGUAGUGAACAGGAAUACAACAUAGCACGAGUAUUCCUCUGUAGUACAUACAUAGUCUGAGUGAUCGCGGAAUCACGCGGAAAAAGACCACGCAUUUAAACAUGGCCCAUGAAAUAAAUACAAAAGCUUUCUCUAAAUCAAAGGCGAUCGCAGUAUAUACACUGUACAUAUGGCAUCUCGCACCGCGGCAUUUUGUGCAAUCAUAAGACGGCAUAUGCAUAGGCCCCUCGUGGCUCCUCAUGAAGAAACACCGUGUUUAAGCUGGCAUUCAUUCCGUUUAGUCAGUCACUGUAGCUAGUAGUGCUCAUAUUUGGUUGUCUUGUCACGUGUGAAAUCUUCAAAAUAAUUCCGUCGGUACGCUCAUAUGGAGUAUCCUCCAAAAUUAUAUACGGUACGUGAAUUUCCGUUUGAUCAGGACACGUAGCAAAAAAAAAAUACUUGAUAGGACGCUAGUGAGUAGUGACACGUACUAGUAGUCUUUGGUUGUCAUGUCACAUGACACGUAACUUGUCAAACAAAAAUAUUACGGCUGGUUUGGCACCCGUCAUUUUGGUAUAGAAUUUUUGAAUUCAUUUUGAAAUAAAAAAACAACUUGUCUGGUUGGCACGGAAUUAGCCACAAGAAUUCAAUCUCAAAUUUCAUGGAAUCACACUAUAACUAGCCUCAAUUCCUCUCUAAAAGUCAUCAUUUAUGUAGAAUUGUCUCGCUCUUCAAUUCCAUGUGGUAGACAAACAUGAUUUUUCAAUCCGGAAUUCAAAUUCAACCAAAUGAAAUGCUAUCAAAAAUUGAAUUUCAUUUCGUUUUGAUCAAAGGAAAUGAAUUCUUGGUUGCCAAACGAGCUGUUAUAUAAAAAAGAUCCCUAUAGAACAUAGGUGAACCGGCUGAUCAGCUGAUGGAUCGUGUAUUACAUACUCCCUCCGUCUGAUAUUAAGUGACUCAAAUUUGCUCAAAUAUGAAUGUAUCUAUUUCUAAAAAAACGUCUAGAUACAUGUAAUGUAAUAGAAAGUCAUACGAGACGUAUCGUGCGGUACAUGCAUGGGCAUAUGAUGUGUGGCCUCUCCCGCUGCAACUCCCCAUUGGCGCAUCCAUCGCGUCGCCGGUCGCUCCAUGCAUCUCCAUCCACGGGCCAAGCAGUUGAAUGAUCGAAAACCGAGUUACUGUAUUCAUCGACCAUGUGUGCUUAUAUACAUGAGAGUUUACAGCAGUUUGUUACAACAGAAUCCUAUACAGGAGAGGCUACGUGCGGGAUAAGGACGCAUGCAUGCGUACUGGCCGCGGUGAUCGCGCUCUGGGUGUGGCCAGGUGCGCCACGAUUUGGCUGCCGGUAGAAUCAGGAGGAAUCCAUUGAGGGGCGACGCCUGUAGUUUGCCAACACAAGCCUGCCGGUAGACUCAGGAGGAAUCCGUUGAGUUGCAGGUGCGGCUUGCUCGGAUCGUGCAUGAACAGGCAAGCCUGCUGUACAUCAUGGGAGAUGUCGGGGCGCAUGAGAGUGAGGUACUGGAGGGCACCUGCGAGGCUGCGGUAGUCAGAGGGAUUUUUGACAGGAGAUCCCUCGGAAGCGGACAGCUUGGCCUCGGCGUCGAUGGGCGUGGAGAUGGGUUUGCUGUUCAGCAUGCCAGCGCGCGAUCUAGGAUCUCCAGAGCAUAUUGCUCUUGGGAGAGGAAUAAGCCAUGGGGGGAACGCUGAACAUUGAUGCCGAGGAAGUGGUGUAGAGGACCAAGAUCGGUCAUGGCGAACUCCUGGUGGAGAUUACGGAUGAUCUGGUGGAGCAGCACGGUAGAGCUGGCGGUGAGGAUAAUGUCAUCGACGUAGAGGAAGAGGUAUGCGAUGUGGGCGCCUCGUCGCAGAAUAAAGAGCGAGCUGUCACACUUAGAGGAAACGAAUCCCAUCGUGAGUAGAUGAGAAGUAAAACGGGUGAACCAAGCCCGCGGAGCCUGUUUCAGCCCAUAUAAGGACUGAUGGAGGUGGCAGACAUGGUUGGGAUAGUUGGUGUCGAUGAAGCCCGACGGCUGCUGCCCGUAAACGAUCUCGUCCAAGUGCCCGUGGAGGAAGACGUUCUUCACGUCGAGCUGGUUGAUCGGCCAAUUGUUUUGAACGAUGAUGGAGAGAACAAGCCGAACAGCCGCCGGUUUGACGACGGGACUGAACGUCUUGCCGUAGUCGGCUGGGAAUGGUGGUCUCACCGAGGCCGGUGUGUGUCAGCGGCCGGCGCCAUCGCCGGAGAAAAGGGGUUGAGAAACGGCGUAGUAGCCGCUCCUUGAGCAGUGAGAGAGGUUUUGAGAGACCUCAGUGUCGCCCAUUGCGGAAGCAGGUAGAGGAGCUCGUGGCUCUGAUACCAAGUCGAAUGAUCGAAAACUGAGUUACUGUAUUCAUCGAUCAUGUAUGUUUAUAUACACGAGAGUUUACAGCAGUUUGUUACAACAGAAUCAUAUACAGGAGAGGCUACGUGCGGGAAAAGGACGCAUGCAUGGGUGCUGCCCGCGGUGAUUUCGCUCUGGGCGUAGCCAGGUGCGUCACGAUCUGGCUGCCGGUAGACUCGAGAGGAAUCCAUUGAGGGACGGGGGCGACGCCUGUAGUUUGCCAACACAAGCCAGCCAGGGGCAAAGGGAACCAACACUGAACCGAACCGGCACCCCUGCCACAAACCUGGCAUCAAUGGUCACGUACGGAGGACGUUGUCCGGAUCACGAUGCAUCUUCUCCUUUGUUGCCGCGCGACAAACGCUAGUCCCUAGCUGUCCUCCGGCUAAGCUAGCUCGCGAUGCAUGCGCGGAGGCUACGAGAAUAAUCGGACGUCCCGCACGGCCCCCGAACGCGCUUUUGCUUCCUGGUCGCAAGGCACGAACGCAUGAACCGGGCAGGGGGCUUGAUUAUUUUGAUCUUGCUGUUUUGGGACCAAACUAAAGGUAAGCGCCGGCCGGCCGGAACACCUUGCGUGCAGUACUACCUGACAGACAGUGUUGGUGUUCCGUAAUUGCUCGGUUGCUAGCCGCGACGCCGGCCUGACAGCUUUGCUACUAGCGCUGAUCCACAGCCGGCCCACGCACUGUUCGGGGUCUUGGGAGCUUGUCUCGUUUGCGUGUCGGGGCGGUCGAUGGACAAACGUUGUUGGGCGAGAUUUCAGAUCUCGAUCACAACUGGUAGGACUAGUCCAGCUAGCAAGCAAAAGGUGGCUGUGGGUGUUGCUGGCAGAAUUGGAUCGAUUGAUGGAUGUCGUUUGGAUCCAUCAGUUUGGUCUCCUUUUUUAGAACGCGUGCCGCGUGCGUGCGCGGGAGAUUUUUUUUUUUGAGGGGAAUUUUUAUUUUUAUUUUUCCCGAGAUGUGCGUGGGAGAUGUUGGCCAUGCUUAUUGGGCUCUUCAUCGCCUGGCACUAUGGGGCCUAUAGCCCCAGCCCAGUAACCCACCAUUGCCUGGCACACUUACGGAAAAGAUUUGUGUAAACAGCGAUAUGUGUAUUGGCUGGUCGUAAUCGAUCCUGCUUCACACAUAGUUUAAGCUCUCGUGAAUUGAGUCACUUUGAUGUGUGAUCAUGCACCAAAACGGACCCUGCAGCGUAAGUUAAGCAAGCUGUAAAAAAAUACCCGCCAAAGAAAUUACUGGUAGUCAAUGCGAUCCACGAGCCGUGCCGACCCAUGCGCAUGCAGUGACGCAACAGCGCAAGGCCAGGUACCUUGCACAUCGACCCGGUCGCAACUUACAUCACGUCCCUAGUUCACAGAUCCCCAGAUGACGCCCACACGACCGAAGAGCUCGAUCCAUGUUUUGGCCAUUCCUUAGAUUUAGCCGGUGCUGAUGCACGAUCAUUCGUGGAACGAGCGACGUCGUCUCCAAUUCAUUCGAUCUGUCGACGGCGCGAAGAGAGAAUCGGGAAAUCCGUGUAACCGUCAUCGCCAGUCCCGUAGCUAGUUUUUUUUUAAGGCCAGUCCCGUAGCUAGCUAGCUAGCCAGGAAUCGUUGAUCUUUCGGGUCGGGCGGCCAGCAGCAUGGGUGGACGACAUGGAUGCAUGGGUCGGGUCGGGUCGGGGGACUUGGGACCGUCCAAGUCGCCGGGUCGGACUCUUGACCCAGCAUAUUUGACCACUACGAACCCAGCUCGAUUGAUCGUUGCGGUGACCUCUCGGCCAAGGCAGGCAGGCAGGCACUGACCCGAUCCAUCCGCGCUCCGGCAGUUCUGCCCCUUUCCCAAGUCUCCCAGGCUCCCAGCGCGUACAAAAGGCCUCCACAGCUCCUCCAGCCAGUCCCAGCUCACCGGUGCACCACUACGUACCGCGGUGCAGGCCUGCAAUCAAAUUAAAACACAGGAGCUGUAGAUCGAUCAGUAGCUAGCUAGGCAGGCAGCCAUGCUCGGGAGGAAGAGAGGAGGGUCGUCGUCGUCGUCGUCCAGGCCGCACGCGGAGGACGCAGCCCCCGCCGGGGGCACCAAAACCGUCGUCGCCGAUGGCGGGCGGCAGGAGGUGACCGUGUCGCAGUUCGUCGCGCAGCUAGGUGAAAUGAAAAUCAUACAGCACUAACCUCAGUCUACAUUAUUUCUAGCGGAGUUGAAUUGCGGGGAAACAUAAUAGACUCCGUAUAUGUGCUGUAUUCAUAUAUGAUUUCCCUUGUGUAACGUUCGGCAGAUGAGGCGGCACGGGAGAGACUGGACCGCAUGAACCGGAGGCUGAGGCUGCUUGAGCAGCAGAUGGAGACGCUGGAGGCGGAGGUCGGGAGAGCCAGCACUACAGACAACUGAUCCAUUUUCCUUUCUUAAUCUCCGGUCGGAAGAUGCUUUAUGCUUAGUUAGCUAGAAGCCUUUCUGUUUCUCCUUUCGUACUGAUCGACGAAAGGAUAUGGUGAUCUCUUAGGUGCUUGCUUGUUUAGGCUAAUUUUCCUGCACAUGAUUAGUGGUUGAUGGUAUUGCUCCGGAAACUUUGCCACGUUCGGGGGCGGGAUUCCGAUCCAUGCUGUGAGGGGAUUGACUUUUGGGGUGGCUUGGAAAAGUAUGUGAACGGCGAUGAAUUCAUAGUCACUUUCAUCCUGUGUGGAAAAUGGGUGCCGUUUCCCAAACAUGCAUGCUGGACCUCUGACUUCUAUACUCACUGAAAUAAUAAAUGGAUUGAGUUGAUCAGUUGAUCUAGGAUAUUUCUAUAGCAAGUUUGUAUUGAUGGAGACAGCCUGAAAUUUGAAAUUUUGCCAGUAAGUACUGCCUACAUAAGAUUAUCAGUAAAGCUGCUCCAAUAAUUUGCAUUAAGACUACUUCACAUAGCUCGUUAAAAAAGACUUGAUGGCAGGUUUAAGCUUCACCUUUCCCAGGCGUGUUCUGAGCUGAGAUGCAGGUAAAAGGAGAAAGUGCCACUCCCCAAGAACUUAUGUACAUUGAACCCUGGCUUUUGCAUCAGUUCUGAGCAAAACUUUAUACAACACAAACUCCCUUCUCCGGACUAAAUCCAUUCAACGAACCGUAGACCUCUUGUACAAGAGCAUGAUACAAUAGUAGUUUGACAUGCAAACUAAAAAACAAAAGGCAAGAAAAUGGCGAAUUACCGAGACACAACAAGACACACAGAUGCAUCCACCAGCGCAACCAGAUAUCAGUACAUCGAGCAUCUUUGUAUUGCUAUUCACAAGCUAGCUUGGUACCAAAGCUGCUGAGGCUGAUGGCAAAGGCUUGAAAUGCUGAGAGUGGCUGCCGAUAAUCCAUUGUGAAGAUAUCGUCGUCGACCUUACCAAACUGCAGCAGAACUGUAUCCUCAUCCCUGGAGCCAGUAGGGUCAUUGGGGUCGGCAGCAGCAACCAACUGGAAAUUCUUGACAGAUGCAACUGUUACCCGCCCAUGGAAGUUCAAGCACCAGCACUGCAAGUGCUCAUGCCAGCGUGGGGCUUUGUUUCUCAAAACUGUGGUUCCCAUGGGCUUCUGGAACUUCGACUUCAGGGAGUUCUCCCAAGUCUCUUGAGUUGAAGGGCACUCAAGUGCACAAUACAUUCUCCUGGGCCCUCUGGAUUUGAGGAGGUUGUAUUUGUAUGAAAGCUGUCCAACUUCAUAGUUGCCUGCCGAUACUUGUGGACUUAUUCUUCUACUUCCAAAACGCCGACUAGAUCGACUACUUGAUGCUUUCGCGCCAUCAUAUGGUGGCUUGCUAUCAUAUACUUUGAAGUUUGUUCCCCAAAAAUCAGAUCUGAAAAGGGUACAGAAGAAGCACAAUCAUAUCACUGGGUAAAAUAUUAAAUAUCAAUGUAAGCAUGAAAACAUAACAUACAGUUAGCUUCCAAAUUGUCUGCAAGCCAAACAGAGAUCAUAGAAAUGUCAUGUAACCCCCCAGCCUAGGACACUGAAGUCCUGACUUCAGAUUCCAAUAACUGCCACAAUACUUCACUUCAGCAACCAAUUGCAGUUUUUUUUAUUAGAAAAUAUCAAUAGGGAGGGCCUUACUGAAAAUACAUGCUAGCAAUAUGGAAAUGUACCAUUUACCCUGCCCAAUUAGCGUCAGUAUGAAUGCACCCUCAAAACACAAACAAAUCAAGUGUUUUUUUAUUGCCUUAAUUAAUACCAGAUCUGCUAUGGCCAGUCCCAUGAGAGCGGACAUUUCAAAAAUAGUAUUUGAAAGUUUCAACCAAAUUGUGUAAACAAUUAUGUGUGUAGAAAUGCCAGGUUUGCUGGAGCGACCGCCCCGCACCGCGCCACACGACCCCGCCGCACGGACCAUGAAUAUUAAUCUGCAUGCGACGUAACAAAUUUACGUCGAGGAGUAGUAGCACCGAGCGCACGUCUCGUCUCGGUAUCUGCAUGCAACGUAACAAAUUUACGCCGGAGUAGUAGCAGCGAGCGCACGUUUGAGGCAGCAGCAGCGAGCUCACGUCUCGUUCGGUAUCUGCAUGCACCGUAAUAAGUUUACGUUGAGGCAGCAGGGGGCAUAAUUUGUGAGGAGUGUCCACUGUGUUUGGAUGAGACAUAAGAAAGUUACGUUGCAGCUUAUAACAACGUAGGAUGCUAGUCAACUAGUACGACCUUAAAUUACGGCAAGCGAUCGAGUGGUUCAGAAGGCUCUGUUGCUUGGUCACGUUGAUUCAUAAAUCACCGGAUUGCUAUUUUUUGAGUGGUUAAAAAAAUUACGUCGCUGGGGUGCUCGCUCGGUCGGGUGGCCAGGUUGGUCCGGUCGUCCGGCUAGUCAGAACGACCAGGGUGAAGAAUAGUUAUUCUACACCAUGGGUAUCUAAUAGAGUUUCUAUGUGUGUAGAUAUAUAUGUAUACUACAUAUGUGUAAAUUUUUUUAUUAAGAAAUAAUUUAAUGUGAGCUACACAAAGAAAAAGAAAAAGAAAAAUAUGUGCAUCUACCCUAGAUAAACAGUGCAUCUAUUAUAGAUCCACAUAUUUUUGUUUUUUGUGUAGCCUACAAAUUAAAAUACUCCCUCCAUCCCAUAUUAAGUGUCUCAACUUUGUCUAAAUACGCAUGCAUCUAUACACUAAAACGCGUCUAGAUACAUGUAAAGUUGCGACACUUAAUAUGGGAUGGAGAGUAGUUCUUAACAAAAUUUUGCAGGUAGAUAUAUUAAACAUUCAAAUGUACGUGUAACUUUUUUUUUUCAAAAUUAUUUAAACUUCUAGAUAUGCUUUUCGUAUUUUUGAAAAUUUCGCCCCAAAGGUGCACAAGCUCCAUUAUGCAUUUUCACAGCCCCAUGCACUACACGAAUUCAAGCACUAUCACAGGCGAUGUGUGGAUUGGACUUCAUAUGCAUACAAAGGUGAAUCUUCUCCUUUACAUGUGUCCACCUCACUGAUACCAAUGUCAGUAAACAGAGAUCACGGCUACCUUCGAGCCAAGGCCGAUGCACGAUGCCGAAGCACGAGGCCAAAGGAAGCCGAAUCCUGAGCCACCGACUUUAAUCCCGGUGCCACCAAACUUGCCAGAGGGACCCACCUCGUUGAAGUGCACUGGAGAUCAAAAGGAAACCCGGCACCAUCGCCGCAAAACACCAAAAGCACCGACAUCAGUGAAGUCGAAGCACGAAGCCAAAACAAGUCGGUGCUACCGAGUCCACCGCUUGCCACACACACCCACCCUUUCUUUCCCUCUAGACCCAGUUUAGACUAUGUUCUGAGCGUUUAAUUCGUGAAGACUGGGCAACAAUCCGUAUCAGGAUCACUCCACUCCCGAGAACAAGUAUUUGAUAGUGGUUGUCUAAAUCAGGACACGUCAUCCAGUUCUGUACAUGUGGUGCCUACAUCACUUUCUUCCAUGGGUCUGCUGGAUCUGCUCCAUGGCACCAAGGAUUGCAUUAAUUUUACAUAUCUAACCCGUUCAGAAAUUAACUAAUCCAUCAUUGUUUCCAUCACUAUGGCCCGUAAAGCACCUAUUGGUAGUAGUACCACUGUUUUCUCUGCCUCAUUUUCUGGGCCGACUUUGUCUAGAUCCCUGCAACUCCUUGAUCAUCGCUAGUGUUCGGCCAAGGGAUAAACGUCAGGGAUCAAAUGUAUUUUGAGAUGGCCGGUCAAGGCACUGAUUAAUCACAAGGCUAACUCCUGUUCGUUUCUCUAACGACUACUUUUAUAACUCCUGUAUGUGACUUUGAUUACUACUUUUAUGCGCACAAGGCACGUACCAGAGUCUAGUUCUUGAUUGGGAUAGCACCAUGAGGAAGUAGCUGGGCAUGAGGUUAAGAUAGGAGACAGGGGGAGCGGCAGCAUGCAGAACAAGUGGAUUUUUCUUUUCUUUUUUUGAAAAGAAAACUCUCUUCCUUCACUUCGAGCAGGUGAGGAAGAUGAGCAGCAAAAGGCAGUAAUCUGAUUUGAUUGCCAUGUAGAGAUGAGAGGUGAGAGAAGAUGUUUCUUUCACGUAGGAGAUACACCAAUGACAUGGCUGCGAUGUAUGCAAUACCGCCUUCAAAAGCGGCUUCAAGGGGUUAAGGUCUGUUUGGUUGGAGACCUGAAGACUGCCUGACAAAAUAUGUUGCCUGAAAGUAGCCUGUGAACUCAAGUAUAUUUGCCUGGCCAGGCACAUAUUUUGUUUGGUUGAUACCCUGUGCCUGAGCAAAAAUGUUUAAAGAAAGGGUGAAGUGCAGGUUCAGGCACACUCACUUAAAGAAGCUACAAGCUCAGGCGCGUAAUUUUGGUGGCCUGAGUCAGGCAGCUUGUCCGGCAGCAAGCAAACAAUUCAGACGCAGUACUCAGGGAGGCUCGUGGCCAGGCACGUUUGCAUCAGGUUAGCAACCAAACACGCUCUAAGUGAUUAAGUAUUCAAAGUCCAGGGAAUUAAGUAAGCCAUAAAAAACUUCAGGGGAUAUUCAAUAAUGAUAAUAAUAAAACUUAGGUCUAUAGAACUCCAGAAAACAAAACAAAAAAGGGAACACAAAAGUUAGCGAAUGUGAAACUAUUAUAAAACUGAAAAGCUUGCAAACUCCCGAGCAGCAAAGACCAAGUCUUAAGACAUGAUGGAAAUACUUCAGCGGUCAAUCACUGAAUUGCAAGGAUGCAGGGGAUUCCAUGUGACUUGCAAACCACCAGAUCAAGGAUGAGCAAAGCAGCUUAGACAUGCGGCAUGGCACCAAGUCAAAGGGUUUGUAGUAAAACACUACAAAUUAUACACCCUUUGACUGAACCAUCAAAACAUAAGUAGCGUACAGAAGACUAAUACAAUGUGAAAAAUGGUGCUAAUUGUAAUUCAAGUUGUACAGUGUCUAAAGGUUUGGUCACCCCACGGCCCUAGGUCUGUUUCAUGAAUCAAAACGUGUUGAACCAAUUAUAUUACUGGAGCCAAUUUGUUAGCACUUAGCAGAAUAAAAAAAAUAGCGCGGUAGUUUAAAGCGAACUCCAAAGCGAUGUAGAACCUCACCUUAGUUUCCCCAUAUAUGCAUUGCUCCCCUGUGACAAGUCAUCAGCAUCAAGGGAUAUAAUGUAUUCAGUAUGGGGACCACGCCUAAAUCUUCUCGCGGCCAUGAGAAACUUCCCUUUAUCCACAGUGGCUGUCAGACAUGAAUAAUAUGUAUUGGAUUAUUAAGCAUCAAGCACAUUCGAUAGUGAAGGAAAUUAGCACACAGCCACGCAACAAACUUCAUCCUUCCGCAGUUGAGGUUAAAGAGGUGAAGAAAAUCACUGCUUAUAAAUGCAUAAACAGGUACCGCCUAAGCACAUAAGUGUUACAGGUAGUAAAAAAGAUCAAGUGUUAAGUUUUAAACUACAUUAUCACCACUAAAUCUGUAAAACUAUCUGAGCUCCAAAAUAUCCAGGCUAAUCUUUUUUUUUACUUGCGGACUCCAAAAUAUGCUCAAACAUGCAGCCGUAGGUGUGCCUCAAAACCCUUGUAAUAAUUAUUUAGAACCAACUGAUACAAAUAGUGAGCAGCAGCAUUCAUUUCUUAGAAACACACGCCAACUAUAACAGUCCAGAAUUUAGUAGAUUUAUGAACACUAUAAUUCAUUAUUCAGUCCACUUGUCCUCCAACAACCACAAUUUAAUCAUAGUCAUGUUAUUAGUCAAGUUUACUCGUGGAAAGGAUGUCCGUCUUACAUAAUAAAUAUAACAGAGAGUAUUUUGAGAUGAAAGAACAGUUGAUUCUCUUCAGACGAAGUUCAAUUAAUGUUUAGAUCCUAGACAUAUGCAACAUUAAAUACAUAUGAGAAUAUCAAGGCAGUAGUUACAUCAGACAGACUUACCAGUUGUCAAGCCAAGGUAGAGGUAGAACGUAGAGUUCUUCUUAUUCCGCUUGAUAAAACACUGCAUUGGGAACUCCCUUGUCCCAGGCUGUUUCACAACAUGGUGUAAGAUUACGCAUACAGAUGCUGCAUAAGAAACUUUUGCACUGAAAUCAUACAUAACUGAGUCACCCCCCUCAAACACAUAAGAAAAUAGCUUCAACCAACACAUAAUUUGCAAGCAAUUUCUGAUUGUGGAAGAGUGAUAUUAAAAUCCCAAUUGACCUAGUCUUCUCACAGGGUCACGACAAAAUAUGCAAGCCUAAAAUUUCUGAUUGUUGAAGAUUUUCCCAAGCCGCCAACAGGUCAAGCUUCAUUGAAACCACCGACCAAAAUACACCUAAUUUAGUGUCCCCGAAACCAAGAAUGAGAACUUAACUGUACUUUAGACCCAUAAACUUAUCUAAAAUGGCACAAGAACUGAUUAAGGUCCUAUCUGAUUCGCCUGCAGGAACAGGACUCUUCCUUGUGUAAUUCCUGUGAAUCUAAAGAGACCUUGAGAAUUAACUCGGCUUCAAAAGUUUAUGGACCACUCCCACAAUCUUUUUUAACGAAUCCAACAAAACAUCGCAGCUAAAUUUACAAGUCCAACCCUCCAAAUCGCAGGAGUAAGAAAUCUCAGCACCUACGGAAAUGGUCCGUAUGCAGGUGAAAUUUGCCGCACAGGCGGUCAGCCCUUGCGCAUUAGUAAAAGAGCAGUAAUCCGAUGCCCCAGUCUCAAUCUCAUCUAAGAGUGAAACCUUCGAAAAAUAACGGACCGAAAGGAGGAAAUAGCUUCACCGGUCCAGCAGUCCUUAAGAAAAAAAAAGUACUCGACAUAAUGGGGAUCGCCAGUUCGCCACAGCCCCUACACCAGCAUACACCGAAUCGGAAGCAGAGAUCCCCAUGAAUCAACGGGUAAGAGGGCCUAUGGACCAGGCAGAGCUCCCAUUCUCACCUGCUUGAGCGAGGACGGGAAGGUGAUCUUGCCAGAAACCGCUGGCGGUCGCACGACGGCGACGGCGGCGUCGCGCCACCGGCGGCAGACGCAGGCGCAUGAGACCACGUCCUUGCGAGCCGGCCACCGCUCCCCACCGGACGCCUCCACGCGCCGCACCACCUCCGAGAGGAGCUCCGGCAGAAGGCGCGCCCACCUCUCCUCCUGCUCCUCCGCCUCCGCCUGCCCGCCCUCCUCCGCCUUUUCCUCCACCUCCACCACCUCCGGAACCUCGCCGCGCUCCGCCGCUGGCUUCUCCCGAGGCAUGUCUUCCGCCCACCACUGUACUGCCUCCCCACUAGGUCGCGGGGCACUUUCUUCGGUUUUGGUUGUUUCUCCCUUUUCUUUUUUCCAACUGUAAUCAAAACCGCGUUUGGCGACGAUAGAGAGGACAUUGAGUACUUGUCUGGAAAAGUGGAUCUAGCACUAACAGACAGGUAGUACUGUGCUGCGGCCUGCGCGUGCGCUUCGUUGAAUUCCACUUGAAUUCCAUUCCUUUUCCGCAGUGGUAUCAUAUAGUCGCGGUAUAGUUGUAAAACAAUCAUGGGUACACAAAAUGUCACUCCCUUUUCACCGUGGAAGCCAGUCGCGGCAACUCAUUAUCACAAAACACGAGGACAGCUGAUCGAAGAAAUAAAGGACAACAAAGGUUUGGGUAAACUGAAAGUUACUUCAAAAAAUCGAAAUUGCCUGAAGCCUGGGAGUAGACAGAUCGGGCCCACCCAAAGACAAACCCGAAAUACUUAGUGUCCCAUAAGAAUGUCUCCACAACUCCUCUCUGGCUAACCUUUUAUGCCUCUUUCUCUUCCUUCCUCUUGUUGAUAUGCAAAUCAAUCUAAGUCAGCUGUAAUCUGCAGCACUGCAUGUAAGUCGGAUCGAAAUGGCAAAUAUAUGUGACUGAAAGAUGUUCUGAAUUCUCAUUCAAUUAGUAGCUCUGAUUGGAGGGGGAAACUGAAGAAAUGGUGCCAUUUUUUUCCUAACAAUUAUGAACUACAGUACUGUAAUUCUUGCCGAAUACUUGGGUUUACAACUGAUAGCUCCAUGAGCUACUGAAUUUUCAGAGAACAAUUCAACAAGCUUUGCAUACAUACACAUUAUGAAAGCAUGUAGAGCCACUGUAUCAAAAGCAGAGCUAAUAAACAACCCGUAUGUUCUACUUUGCAAGCCAGAUUUCUUGCCAUUGAGAUUCUCCUUAGACUCGGAUGAGCACAUCAGGAUGACUGGCGAUGCAGUAUUGGCUGUACGCGUGGUCGCCCGCGACCGACCAAAGACAAGGACGGGAUGGUCGCGACGCGACGGCUUCGAGGAUGAAAACGGGAUGGUUACGGCAGCGACGACGGUGAGGAAAGACGACGACGACGACAUGGUUGUGAUAGAGGCAGCGACCAAAGAUGAGGAUGGAGAUCCAUGAUGUUGUCGGAGAACCAGCAGCGACAGCAAUCCAGAGCCGGGUCGCAGCCUUGCAGGCACGAGAAAGAAGACGAUGAAUGGCUCUGACCGAUUGGUUUUGGGCUUGCCUGGGCCUGGACUUUGGGUAAACAAAGGCGACCAAGGGAGAAAAAAAUUAACAGCCAGCUCGUAGCCACGUACAGGUAAAGUCAUACAAGCAUCGGAUGGAAAUUGUCUUACGCAUAGCACGUCCGUCAAAAAAUUUGGAGUCAACUUCUCUAGCUGGGUCAUUUGCGUUUUGAUAUUUUUUCAAAUCUUCGAUAACGAAAUAGUAUAAGACCAAAUCUGCAUAAACUGGACGGACCAUGUAGGUUUUACUGCGCCGUCCACCUCAGCUGGUGAGAACUUAAGAUCGUUGAACGUGCGUUGGCGGGAGACGCACCUCUCGUAAGACAGGCUGUCGAACCAUUAAAUCAUCACCGGACCGAUGAGAAAGAAGACCAAAAUCACGAAAUUACGAGUCGAAAGAUCCGCAAACUCCAUUGAAUAGACCAUUAUAGUCACGCCAGAACGAAAAUGAAGCCAGGAGACUCCAUUGCCGGAACUCCGUCGUCAAGAACACGCAAAACCUUACCACAAAUGUAACAAGACGAUCGUCAGUUGUUGAUCUGUCCCCUAUUGAUGGCCAAUAGGCUAUUGCAGACAAGGGGACCCACGAAGACGGAAACGAUGGUUUUUCUCCCGGCGGCCCGUGCCCUCCAUCUCCGACAUCCUCCGACCAUCGCCCCCACCAGAUAUGGCACCUCCACGGGAGAAUCUGGCCGGUCAACUCAUUAAUCGUUGCGGCCGCGAGGCGCUGGAGGUCGCUCCGCGCCUCUCCGCAGUCAUGGAGCUCUAGUCAGGCACGGACAACUCUUCGCCGCUAGCAAGUCCGAUAGGAGCGCGCACGGAAACGCGACAGCCUCACCCGGUCCCGUCUGGGCUAGCCUUGCAGUGUUGUGAGCAAGUCGUUGCCGCCCGCCGCAUGUAAUCGGAGAGCUCACGGGUCGGAAUCCACCGGGCACCCCACCCUUUGAUGACGAGGCGAGGCUACGGGCGCGAAUGAAGCGGCAGUCAGUAGUCCCCGUUGUCACCGACGCUAACGCGACAGUGCGUGGAGCACAAGAUCAGGCGGCGGCGUGGCGCACGAAGGCGUUUCUCCCGCCAUACAUCGAAGUCUCCUCCGAGAGCGAGUGAGCUCGCGUUUCCACCGCGUUUGAAGGCUCCGGUGAAGUAUCCCGAUAGCACCUUUUGCUAGUAAUUGUAGUUAGGUUAGCGUUCACGCGAACCGUGUGUGUGCUGAACUAUAUGCUAACACAUAUCAGAUGAUCACUAUGUGCUAUCUAUGGUAUCAUGAUCAAAUUCUCGUGCGACCUGUUUUUCUUACAAGUAUCUAUGCGAUCCGAGCUCAUGAGAUACCGUAUUAAAUCAAAUUUUACGGAUGGCUACGUAAGGGAUUUGCCAGAGAUAUCCUAAGGGCUUGUUUGGUGUUAGUGUUUUUUUAGUCACUACUGUUUUGAUAUUUGAGGGUUUUGGGUGUUUAUCCAAAACUCUCAAAAACCCAAGACAUAGUGUUUUUUAGAAAAACACUAGUACGAGAAGUGUUUUAAUUUGGUACAAAAUUGAGUGUUUGUGGAAGAAAAUUAGGAAUAAUCGUCUCUAAAUCUUUCCUAACAAAUAACAAUUUGAGAUUUCUAAUAUUUUUCAAUUUAGAGUGAAUAAUACCUUAAAAACACACAAGUGUACUAAACAAGGCCUAACAGUUCUAUUUCCAGUUUUGCUGGUAGGUGCCCUACGGAUCCGAGGAGGCGAGGAUCGUAUCAUCGAUAAACUUUUAAAAUCGUCGGCCUCGUGUAGCUCAUCUGCCAUUCUUUAAUUGCACCUAUCCUGACAAAAAUCAACACCGCGGUUCCCGUCGUUGGCGUGUAAAGUCAAACGAAGCUGCGGAGAUUAGCACACUACCGAACUGGUUAGCGACUGGCGGAGUGGCAUGGCAGGGCGCGCACGGUGAGGCGGAGAGUCGCACUCGGGACAGUGACGGCCUCCUGCACCUUCUGUGCAGGUUGCGGACUUCGCUGGCUCUGCUGGGCCAGGUUUGGCCCUGCCGAAUCUUCACCUAGACUUCUUCUUCCGACAGCAGGCUUUGCCACUUGAGCUUGCGCUGAGCUUUGCCUACAUCCAUUACCGAUCGUGGUGAAUAGUUGCGCGGGGCUUCGUGCUGACGAGAGAUUACAGGAACAGACACUAGGGAGGCAUACAUCGCCGAAAUUAAAUGCGGUUGGUCCAGCAAGGAUAUAGAUGUUCCUCCUGGAAUCACCGUGUGUUUUAAUUCCGAGGUACGCAUGUGGGAUUGGCUAUCCUGAUCUUUCCACAGGAUGGUUCAACUAUUGCACGAACGAGACGCGUGCUGAUUGCAGAUUUGGCACUCAUCACGCACUAACCACAAUUAUUGCUUUUGCCGGUGUAGCUAUACGCACGAGGGGCCUAGAUGUACAUGCCGCACGUACGGUGGUAGGCCGAUGGAUCAUCGAUGGACACUGUUCAUCCUUGGGUCCAUGAGGCCAGGACCCGUGCGGCGCGGCGACUGCUCGAGAAGGAACGGGCCACAAGCCUUUGCAAGGAGCAAAAUCCGAAAACACUAACUCUUUAACCGGCUCUUGUUUAAAAUACUGGAGGAAAAAAAUUGAAGAGAGAACGGAACUGGCUUUUCGUGAAGGACUAAAAGUUAGCUAAGAGUUAACUAAAAGUCCACCGUUUAACCGUUGUACCACGUUGCAUUUUAACCUAACAAAUUAUUUAGGAUUACUUUAAAGACACAAGUCAUUGCACAUGUUAUCUGACCGUAGAGUCUAGAUGACAUGGAGUACUACGGAUGCCCUAAAAGAUGUGUUGUGGGGUAACUUUUGUUUAGGAAAAGUUAUCAUGACAACUUUGUUGAUAGUUAAAAACAAUUUGAUCAUUCACUAUUAUCAAGAAAAAUACUUACGUACUCCAUAGUUCACAAGAAAGGAACCGGUAAAAUUCGAAGAAUCCACGUGCCACAUUACUAGUUGGGACCCACCGUAUGGCCAGCUAAGGUAUGAUCGACAAUUUUACUUUUCCUAAGACAGAUAAAAAAUGAUGUGACUAAAACCACGAGAUAAGAAAUACUCCCUCCAUUCCUUAAAAAUUGACAUAUUAGUUUUCAUUAAGACAAGACUUUGAUCACAAAUUACUAUGUUAAAGUGUUGUUUAUAUGACAUGAAACCACAAGUAUUAUGAAGUACUUUUGAUAACGAAUCUAGCGAUACUAAUUUCAUGUCAUAUAAACCACACCUUGACAUAGUAAUUUGUGGUCAAAACCUUGUCUUAAUGAAAGCUAAUAUGAAGGAACGGAGGGAGUAGCAUUGUUCAUAGAUAGCCACUGUCAAACCGAUUGAAUUGCCACUAGUCUGGGGCGAGAAGAACCAAAUCUCAGCGACUAGACUUUGAAAAAACAAUAUUUCCGAAGACCUAUUGGUUGUUUAUUUUAGUAGCAAGACUUUAUGAUUUUUGUCAGAUCAUUAUUUAGUCUAUUGUGUUUUAAGAGGAGAAUUUGGUUCUUCUGACACGCGACUGUGUUAAAUGACUGCGACACUUUCCGAAGAAGAUGGUUAGAUUUUUUUUCUUGAGAGGAAGAAGAUGGUUAGAUGGGCCUCACAGGCGAAUUAUCACAGUCUCCAGCAAGCCCAUUUAAAGUUUUGAGGUCUAACAGAAAGAAAAAAACAAUUUCGAGUCCAUUUAUCCUUGAAGAAAAUUUUAAGCCCGUUUUGCCCGGCCCAUCGGAAACAAAUAACAUCAUUCUCCACGAACCACGGUCGAGCACCACUUCUGAUAUGCUCUCAAUUAUAGAUGUCCAUCAGGCCGGGCCGGCCCGGCACCGUCCCAUCUAAGGUUAAAUGGGCCCGGCCCGAUGAAGCCCGAUUUUAAACGUGUCAGGCCGGGCCAGCCCGAAAUCUCCUGCUCCAGGCCUAGGCGCGGCACUGAACCCGGCCGGACUAGCCCGGGCCCAUUAAGGCCCGGCGGGGUCAGCAAGGCUUUGUAAGCCCCCUCAGCCAAAUGUAAAAAUAAAUAAAAAGACAUGGAUUUGGGCCAAAACCGAAGAGUUGAUGAGUAGUUGAUAUGAUGGGACCAAUGUAAAAUUAAGUUGGGUUGGAGCAGUUCCCCGUAAAAAAAAGUUGGGUUGGGCCAGAUUUUUUAGAGUUGACGGGUCAUAUGUAAAAAAAAUAUUAAACGGGCCGGGCCUGAGGAAGGCUGGCCCGGCCCGAUUAAUUUUGUGCUGGCCGGGCGCAAACGGCCCAAGCCCGGUGGGCUUUCGGGCUUUUUGCAAUGGCCCGGUCUGAUGGCCAUGUAUACUCUCAAUCCCUCUCCCCCCUCUCUCGAAAAAAAACCCCUCUCUCCCCUGCCUCUCCAAGAGAUAACACAGGACAGGAAAGCAGGCGCAGGUACUCGCGGUCCGCCUUCUUCGAAUCCAUCUGCCUUCCCUGAGCUAGCGGGUUUCUCGGUGGAGAUUGCGCCCGCAAGAUGCAGUAGGGGUUGCAAUCCCACUGGCCGACCAGGGGUCAUGGCGGCGCCGCCAAGCGCGAGCAUGGGUCUGCUCAAUUUGGGCGGGUGCGGAGUUUUGCUCCCUUCCUUGCAGCCUAGUUCAGUCCCACACGGGUUUUUGGUCCUUAGAAGGGACAUCCCAGUGUUGCCUUUGAACUGGGGUUUGGUGAGAAGAGGUAGGGUUCUCGAUGCUGGUUUCGGGGCUGCGAGUGCGCUGGCUGGCGAGGCUGGUACCGGUUCAUCGGAGUUGCGGCACAUCGAGAAGGAGCUGACGUUUAGCCCGACAUUCACCGACUAUGUGAAGAUGAUGGAGUCGGUGAAGUUGGACAGGAGCAAGAGUUCCCAAGGAGGUGAUUCGGACGGCCGGAGCUCUAGGAGGAGGUUCGUGGGUGAUGGUGAUGCAUCAGUUGGUCGGCGAGUGGAUAGGGAGUUGGGUGAUCCAAGGAAUCAAUCAUUUGAGAGAAAAAGAGGGGCUCAUAGGGACAGAGGGAGUGAGAGAGGUAGGGAAGAGAGAUCGGCGAACAAUGAUAUUGCAAAGAAUUUUACUGGAUUGGUGGAGAGAAGAAUGUCGACUGAUGCUGAAAAUAGCAGUUAUAGACAGGGAAAGGUUGAAGAAUAUGUACAGAGAAGAAUAGUUAGAGGCGAGCGGAGCAAAACUGGAGAUAGCACGGAUAACAAUGGCCGCAGGCAAUUUGCAUCAUAUGUGAAGACUAAAGAUAAUAGAGAUAGCAUGGUUGAAUCAGCAGGGAACAGGCAUGCCCAUUCAAAUGCACGGAAGGAUUUACAAGAACGGGCAACUUCUAUUGUAAGUCGUACUUCUGUCACUCGGGAUAGCAACAUUUUAUUGGAGAACCCAAAGUCCACAUUAAAUGAGGGAAAAGGAGAUUUUACCAACAGAAGAAUUAAAAAUAUACACGAACAGGACUUCAAAUAUCCUAGAGAGAGAAAAAUUUCCAGUAGCAAGGUCAAUUCUGACAGUAAGUUUCAAAGAUACCAGCAUAAAGUAGAAAGUGCAGGAAGAAAUCUUGUAGUUGGUAGGUUUAGAGGUAGUGACACGGGAUAUAGCAAACCUACUGUAAGCAUGCAAACAGUGUCUGAGAAUUAUGGUCAUCCAAGAUAUGGUUUGGAGCAUGGAAAACCUGAAACAAUUCGAACACAGAAAGGGGAAAAUGUUCAGUUGGGGAAGUUUGUUAGGAGAGAUUCAGAAGCCGUAAUUGAUGACAGGGCUGCUUUCAAGACUUUUGAGGUAUUCACUGAUGUGAGGAACAGACCACGGGUUCUUCAAAUGGAAAUAGAAGAGAGAAUUCAGAAAUUAGCUAGCCAGUAAGUCUUCAUAUGCUCCCUCCGUCCCAUAAUUCUUGUCGAAAUAUUACAUGUAUCUAGACGCUUUUUAGGAAUAGAUACUUCCAUUUUGGGGCAAAUUUGGGACAAGAAUUAUGGGACGGAGGGAGUAAUUGAUUUCAUUCUAAUGCUUGAAUUAUCUGAGUGUUCUGCUGUACAAGUUGAACAUAGCAGCCUCUUCUAAUUUGGAAACAUAUGGCCCAUGAUCGCAGGUUAUAUUUACUCAGUAACAUAAUCAUCACUUCCUUUGCUAUUCUCAUUUUUUACUUAAAUUGUAUGUAUCAGAUUAAACUAUUGCAUUGCCUUCAAUUUGGCGAACUGCUUUAGACAGCUUUUUAUUAUUACCGGUUGUGCAAUUUACCAUCAUUAUUCACAUCACAUAUAUCAUAACUCUGACUUACUCAGUGCAUUUCCCGUAAUCCUCAUCAGAUAUGCGAUAAAUAAUUCUAAUUAUGAUACUAAGCUUCUAACAAGAUCACUGCUCAAAUGUAUUCUUUCAGCAUUUAUUGGUUGGUCACAGCUUAUAAAGAAGGCAUAUGUACGCUUUAAUCCUUACCAGAGUAUCCCCUCCUAAAAAAAUAUUACCAAGCUUCUUUUUAUGUCAGGAUGCCUAGAUGCAAACUGUUAUUUGCAGUUUUUUAGAGAAUUAUUUUAUACAUUUAUGCAGAUAGUUUUUUUGGAAGUUCAUUAGGGAUUGUAUUGGAGCAAUGGAACCUUUUAGCUGAUCUGAUUAAGAUAGCACUUUUUUUUUAUCUGUUUCUUCCCACAUAGCCGAUCAAGAUUAAUCAUGUGGAGUCGCCAUUGUCGUAUUUGAUUCCUUAUAACUAUUUAUUUUUUUGAAGGCUCAAUGCUACAGAUGUAAAUACUCCGGAGUGGAAAUUCUCUAAGAUGAUUCAUGAUGCACAAAUCAAAUUCACUGAUCACUCUAUACUAAGAAUUGUUCAAAUAUUGGGUCGAUAUGGAAACUGGAAACGUGUUCUGCAAGUUGUUGAGUGGCUUCAAUCACGUGAAAGAUUCAAGUCUUACAAGAGCAGGUAAAGUAGUUGCCAACUUAUAUACUUCUAUCUUUAUCAAUCUUAAAUGUUAUGAUGUAUAUGGCACCAGUGUAUUGUGUAAUGUGUUGUUACCGGUAUGAAUAAUUUUAUUGAUGUAUUUGUCUUUGCUUAAAGUAGUUUCUUUGAUUAAUUUUCUUGGUUACCUCCCUGUGACUUAAUUAAAUGGGUAUAAUGUUUAGUAUAUGAAGUUUAUAUGUCAUUCAUGAGAAGUAUCUUCUGAUGUAGGUAUAUUUAUACAACAGUGCUCGAUGUUCUUGGGAAGGCGAAGAAACCUUUUGAGGCAUUGAAUGUAUUUUACACCAUGCUGGUAUAACUACUAAUUGUUGUCAUAUCUUCAUUUUACAGUCAUCUAUAUUAAUCAGCCCUUAUUUAGAUGCUAUCCGGGUAUUCAUUUGUAGGACCAAAUGUCUUCUUAUCCUGACAUCGCAGCUUAUCAUUGUAUUGCUGUGACUCUUGGGCAAGCUGGUCUUGUGAAAGAACUAUUUGAUGUGAUUGAUUGCAUGCGUUCUCCUCCUAGGAAGAAGUUUAUGGCGGGCCCUGUUCAGAAUUGGGAUCCUCGGUUGGAGCCAGACCUCAUUGUAUACAAUGCGGUGAGUUUAUUUGUAGCAAAUGUGAUGCCAUUGGAACCAAUGCACCAUGAACCAGGUAUGUUGUUUAACGGUCAUCUGUUAUUCAGUAGAACGUAACUGCUUCUACUGCUAUGUAGGUUUUAAAUGCUUGUGUGCAACAAAAGCAAUGGGAAGGAACAUUCUGGGUACUGCAACAGUUGAAAGAGAAGAAUAUUCGCCCAACAAAUACAACAUAUGGUCUUGUGAUGGAGGUAUGCUAACUGUGAUACAAAUACAAGUAUAACAUGACCCAUAUUCUCUGUUCUCUCUCACCCAACUAUGCUGGGUUUGAAGGGGCUUCUGUAAAUCUCUUUAGAUCUUCUGGAGGAUAACUAAGCACUCCUCAUUGUACGUGAAAGUUGGCGAGAUCCUUUUUUCGUGAUGUUUUUGUUGUCUUCUUUCCUAAGAGCAGCUGAUUAUACAUAUUGUUCUGUGCCAUAUGUUUCCACUUAUAAUUUGGGCACGAUCUUUUGGUCUAGUUUAAUUACGUGAUAAUGCAGGUAAUGCUUGUUUGUGGCAAGUAUAACUUGGUGUAUGAGUUCUUCGACAGGGUGAAGCAAAAAUCAAUUCCUGGUGCUUUGAACUAUAAAGGUAUUAACUUGAACUUGAAUACAGUAGUAGGUAAAAAGUUCAUGUCUCAGACCUGAUGCUGGCUGCAGUUCUCGUAAAUGCACUUUGGAGAGAAGGAAAGAUUGAUGAAGCAGUGAUGGCCGUGAAGGAUAUGGAAAAACGUGGAAUUGUUGGUUCUGCAAGUCUCUAUUAUGACCUUGCUCGGUGCCUUUGCAGUGGAGGGCGUUGCAAAGAAGCACUUCUCCAGGUUUGGUACAAAAGUGCAGUUUAUAUGUAAUCACUUGCCAUAGCUGACAAUAGUGAAAUUUCCUUGGCUAGCUAUUUUCAUCUUUUUCAUCUUGAUUUCUCACAAUUGUUGAUUAUGUUAAAGAAUAAAUGUGUCGAAGAUAAGCUUAUGCUGGGCACACUGCUGGCUAAGUACUUCAACGGCACACUAAGUUAUAAAUCAAUAUAAUUUAUAUAUUCUGCUGAUUCAACUGAUUUAUCAUGCUUUUACAUACUCUAUUUGCUGUCAUGGCCUUGGGCAGAGUUAAGGUUACACUUGAUUAUGCACUGGACGGAAGAUAUAUGGAUUCAGAGAUUUCGUAUUUAAGCAAGACAAGACCAGAUUGGAUAAACCAUACUUUGGUUGAAGUAGGCACUGUGUCUUGUGACAUAGGAGUAGUUAUAUUUAGAUAUGUGAUUGCAUACUCUAUUUGCUGUCAUGGCCUUGGGCAGAGUUAAGGUUGCGCUUGAUUAUGCACUUGAUGGAAGAUAUAUGAAUUCAGAGAUUUCAUACUUAAGCAAGACAAGACCAGAUUGCAUUAACCAUACUUUGGUUGAAGUAAGCACUGUGUCUUGUGACAUAGGAGUAGCUAAACAAGGCUCCAACUCUCUACCUAUCACUGCAAAUCUUUUUAUUUGAGAAAAGUUUCAACAAGCUAACCAAGGCUCUUUACGAAACAAGUGGAUGCAUGAUAACAUUUGAACUUGCCAUAAAAACCCAGAAGAGUUUGACAUUCAACUAAUUUGGGCUAACGCUCGACUAGUGACUACAAUUACUAUUAAUAACCCCACUGUCUGUCUAUGCACUAUUUGUGUAAUGUCCUCGGACUGCUUCUUUCUCUCUCUCUCUAAAUUUAUCUGAUAGCAUUUGUAUUCCAGGUUGAGAAGAUAUGCAAGGUUGCAAACAAACCCCUGGUUGUUACCUACACAGGACUUAUUCAAAUUUGCAUAGACAGUGGAAGUAUGGAAAAUGCUAAAUAUAUAUUCAACGAAAUGUGCAGCUACUGCUCACCUAAUAAUGUGACUUGUAACAUCAUGCUGAAGUCAUACAUUGAACAUGGAAUGUUUGAAGAUGCAAAAGAUCUACUGGAGAAUAUUCUAAAUGGCAGGAUAGGGAGCAAACUGGAUUCUAGUCAAACAGCAGAAGCUGACAAGUUUACUUUCAAUACUUUCCUGGAGGCUUGUGCUGAAGCAAAGAAGUGGAAUGACUUUGAGGAUGCAUUUCGCAAAAUGUUAUCUAAUGGCUACCACUUUGAUGAACGAAGGCACCUCCGUAUGGUACUUGAUGCCUAUAGGAAUGGGAAGGUACUUAUCCCAUAUGCUCAAGGUUUUGAUUAUUUAUGAAUGUAGUCUAACUUAUAAAGCUAGAAUAUCCAUUGCAUAUAAUUAUUCAGGUCUAAACCUGAAGUUUUUUGGUUGACCCUACAGUAAUAAUGCAUGUCGUAUCUUUCAUGGAGUUAGGAGAAUGUUGGCUUACCCUGGCCUGACUAGAAAGUGUCCAUAGUCUUGAAAAGUAAAUUUGAAGUAAAACAGCAGCAUGAUAAGCUAGCCCCAGUUCGAUAUGAAUUUGAGCCAUUUCCCAUCUCUCCACAUGCGUUCCUGCUGGUGCUCGCGGGACUUUAUUUAGAAUUAAAAUUACAUUUACAUUAACAAUGACCACAGGCAAUUUUUAACAACAUCCUUUCCGCGUUGAUCAGCUUCAUUAAUUCAUCUUCUGUGUGUAUUCUCACCCUAGCUGUAUGUUACCCAUCAUUAUUCAGGAACAGCUUCUGGAAAAUAUAUGGGACUACCUGUGUCACCAUGGCCGGGUUCCACCUGUCCCUAUGAUAAUGGAAAGAUUUUGCUUAAAAUUGAGACAAGGUGACACAACGACAGCACUCUCCUGCAUCAGCAGCUUCCAGGAGAGCAAGAUACGCAGGGUUUCCUCCAUGUCAUGGUUCAAUCUGCUGAACCGUAAUGCGGAUCGCCUGAAGGAGGAAAGCAUCGCCAAGCUUGUCCACGAACUCAACAACUACGCAAGCUCAGGGAGUACCUGUGAUUCGUUGUACCAAAACAUUCUGAGCAGUUGUACAGAAUUCCUUUCUGGUGGAAAAGCGCCUUCUGAUGCACAGAUGCCUUUAUGUAAUCCUUAACCACUAUGUUGGCCUAUUGCCAUGUAAGUUCGGUUCAGUGGGAACCACUGGUUGACUUCAUGCUCUUUUCCAAGGAACUGCUAGUGGAAGCAGGAAGCUGAAGGCUAACUUGAUUACAGUACAGGAGUAGUAGCACUAGCAUCUGGUUGGUUAGCUGUUGACUUUUUGUUGCGGUUGGAUAUUGGCAGAAGCAGCAUUUGACAGCAUCUCGUUGGUUCCUACCCUUAAUAGGGAUUCAUCAGUAUAACAGUGACAGUCUCAACAGCUGGUAUCCCUAGAUUUAGGAUACAUGGAUGAUAGAUACAUGAUAGCUACAUGUUUGAAAAUGUCUGGACCAAUCACACAUAUCUCCAAGUCUGUCCAGUUAUCAGUCACCCUGGAGCCAGUGAAUUUACGGAGUUCGAAACUUUGCUUGGUUGUCUGACACCGGAACGGGUCCAAAACAGCUCUUAUCCCAAAGGCUCCAUCUGGAGAAAUUUGUGCCCCUGCAGAAAGAGUUUACCUCUGUUUCUACGCUGGCUUCUAUCGACACCACGCACCAAUCGCUCGUCGCGGUCACUUGUGGCGGAUUCAGAAAUAAAAUUACUUCGUAUGUGGAUUAUUGUGUUGAAAACUUGUGUAGUUUCAUAUACUCCUUCCAUCCCAAAUUAAGUGACUCAAAUUUAUCCAAAUUUUAUCUAAAAAGCGUCUACAUACAUGUAAUAUUUCGAUACUUAAUAUGGGACGGAGGAAGUAUAUUUUUACAAAUAUUAAACCCCCUAACUUCAACGUGGAUCCGCCACGAUCAAGGGAUUGGUGCUCUAAAAGUACAACCCACGUAGGAGACGUCCAUGUUGUGGCGGGAGGAGCAACAUGGUUCACCAGAGCCAUAGAACAAGUCAAAAUAAGGAUACAAAAUGUCAAAUUGAUUUUAUUUUUUUAGUUUGUACUCCCUCCGUCUUGUAUUAUGUGCCGAAAUAUUACAUGUAUCUAAACGUUUUUUAGGUAGGUACAUCAUAUGUGACGGAGGGAGUACAUGAUUUUGUCAUUCGCUGGCUUGUAUGUUUCUAGAAGAAACAUAUUAUUUUGGGAAAGGCUGGACGAAUAAUAUUGUUUUUUUAAUUUACUAAUGUCAGCAAGUGGCCCAAACCGCUGCAAAGAAAAACUUGCCAAAACCUAUAUGGAAAAUUUCUAGCUUCAGAAUAAAGCAUUGAAAAUUUGCACCGAGCACAAGUUAACCAUUGUCGUCAGUUGACCGUGAAGUGGCUAUUGAGAUUUGAAAAGACUAUUUUGCCCUUGGUCUAAUAUGGUGAUUUUUCCUUUUAGGGUUAAUUUCAUUUGAGAAUUUUAGCAAACAACAAACAAUUCUAUAAUGAAAUAUCACUAAAAAUAGCAAAAUAAUAAUAAUAUAUUUUAGCAUGAAAAGACACAAAAUUUCAACAACAUAACCCCUUAUUUAGCUUAAAUAUCACAAUUUUCAUGACAAAUUUUGGCAAUAUAUACUCAAACUAAUCAUAGUAUAGCAAAUAGCAGAACAAUCAUAUAUGCUCAUAACAUCCCACAUAUAUAUAAAAAAGAAAACAUCACAUUACCUGAGCGGCUGGGCCGGCUGGCCACCGGGAACUGCGCGACAGGCUGCCACUACACUUUCCUAAGUGCUGCCAAGGAGGGUCACCAACACCACGCCCUAGGAGGAUGGAGAAGGGGAUGGGGUGUCACCGUACCGGUUUAGGGAAAGAGGAGUGAGCUGCGAAGGGUGUCGAGCAUGUGGACUCUUAUUUACUUUUUCAAUCAAUUACUCCUAAAGAUAUACCCCUUCAAAUGCAUAAUAAGUGUUUUGAAUUUAGUACAAAAUUGGUACAACUAAUGUCGGUAGUUAAUUUAUAUCCACUGAAAAUGAUUUUUUAGAUAAUGAAAUCUUUAUUACCUCCGGUCUCUGCAUUCAGAAUGCAUACAGCCUAAAGUCAUAUAUUGUUUUUAACAAUUGAAAACAUAUGACCACAUCCACAAAUGUGACAGGCCACAUGAGGAACCAAUCUAGAAACUAAGAAGUUUAGAUCUAGCACGCCACUCAAACCAGGACAUAAACUCCUUGAUCCAUUGUACUCGUUUGGAGCAAGACUCCAUCGGUUCCUUGUGCUGCAUCUUCUGUAUCAACGCUCAUAAUCACAGCCAGUUGAUACAUAAUAGCAACACCUGCAUGGUCGAAAAUGAUAGUGGUAGAUUUAAAAAUCAAACAUAUAAAUUGUACUCGUACUGUAUUUGAUCAUGUUACAAUAAUUCCGUCUUAUCUCUAAAACUUCGCCAUUUCAUGACAUGCAAUCUGGACAGAAGAUGGGGCGAGGAGGACAGGGGCAGCAGCCUGGAGAAUGGUGCGCACGACUAGCGGCAACGCCACACAACGUGGGAGAGUCUACCUUUCCAAACAACAGAAAAGGAUCAGAAUAGAUAAACGAUUAAACUUAAGCUGGGAAAGAAAAACAAAUAGGGGAAACAACGAGGAUACGGGCGGACAUCUGAAAAAUCAUUGCAACAAUUUUUUUUUCUGCCCCUUCCUUUGCGCGUCCCACCUGUCCCGGCGGGGCCCACCGCACGUCUCCUCUCCUCCUCCUUCCCUCAGCCAUUCUCGCCCUGGCAGGCUCGCGCGCCGUCUCCUCCGCUUGCCGCCGGCCACCGCCUCCGCCCCUGCCCCAUUGAUCCGCGCGCGGGAGGGGAGGGAGCCUCCGACCCGCGAACGCCGGCCACGGGUAUGAAUCGUUCCACCACAUUGCCUUCGUCUCAGAUGGGCUGGCUUCCUCUGAAUUUGUUUUUUUAGCAUUUUGUUUCUGUUAACACCUUUGCGAUUCUCGACCUGGUUUAGGUAUUGAUUGUCCCUUUUGGAGAGAAAAAGAGUCCUGCUUGCAAUCGCAUUUGGCGUCGCUGAGAGGCCUGAUUGCAAUUGGUAAGGGGAGGAUUAUAAAAUGUCAAUGGGGGCAUAUUUUAGUGGCAUCUGUGAUGAUGAGCACGAAAGUGUUUUUUUUCAAUUAAUAAUGUUUUCGGAUUUUAAAAAUGGCAAGCGCCGAAUCCGUCGCCGGCGACGACGAGGCUGCGGAGCUGUUGUCCUGGCCCUCGACAACGACCUCCCUAUCCGAUUCUUUAUUCCGAACUUGGUACCCCAGCGUGGAAUUGUCUUCCAGAUGGCCGUGGAAUUCUUCCACCUUCGUUCCUUCCUUUUUUUUUUCUUUAUAGAAAACGCAAUCUUAGACAUGGGGAGAUUAGGUGGAAGAACGCACCGUGAAAAUUUCUUUUUCUUUAUUUUUUCCUAGCUCUGUUGUCGUUGUUGAUUUCUCCAACUACUACUUGUUCCUCCAAGAACGGACGACCGCUGUUUCCUUCUCCAUCUGUCCUCCUCCUCUCUCCGUUCCCCAAUACCACGCUCUUCUCCGUCGAUUCAGUUGCUCGAUUCGAAUCGCGUAUGGCGUAAGCGAAAUCGGCAGAGGCGAAUCAUCAGGCAAAAAGCUAAAGCUGCUCCUUUGCUUUUUGGCGAUGCAAGCCUCGUCUGCUCCUCCACGCUUUCUGAGCUGUUUUUCUGUCUUUCUUGCAUGCAGCAGGGGAAGCGUCCUGAGGCUGCUGCCGUGCCAACAAAGGUAGGCGCAACAGAAAUGGGUGUUCCUUGCGCGUGACCAUGCAUUCCAGGCUGCUCAAGAGGCUCGCCAAGAGGAUCAUGUGAGCAGUCGUGCGCCCGUCGAAAUGUGGGAGAUGGAUGCGUUGGGCUACUGCGUGCUCGUCGUGCUGGCACUCCAUUGUGUCGUCGGUGGCUGCUCGGCAAUCAACCUUGAAGGUAGCGGCAGGCAGCCUGCCGGUGUUGCUGCCGAUGUUUUGCUUUUCGUGGUUGAGCACAGCUCGCGGGGUUCUGGUGUUGUUGAUGGAUUGGAGCUUUUCUCUUGUUGUUGGUGAUGCAGGCUCGGUGCUGCUCAAGUUCAGUUCGAGGGUCGAGGAGGAUCCACUUGGCGCCAUGGCAGGUUGGAGCCUGCAGGAUGGCGAUCCUUGCAGUUGGAACGGCGUCCGCUGCGCGGAUGGCAGGGUUGUGAUGCUGUGAGUCGGAAUGUUGGUUGUUGUCUUUUUUUUUUGUAUGGUUCUAUUUGGGAAAUGGAACGUUGUUCAUCAAUUCUCUGAUGAACCACUAUCAGAAAAAUCAGCAUUUAGUUCUUCUGUUUAACGGGUCUUCCAUCUGACCGCAUCUUUCCGUGUUCAAGAGUAGUUAAAGUAUUGAUUUAUUGUUAAAUGGAUGUUGCAUCGGCAACUGUCUUUUAUAUUCCUUGUUUUCUCCUUCACAGUUAUCGUGGUUUGACUUAUACGAAAUGAAUGUGUAUUGUGUCUAUUGAGUUUCUGCUGACACAAGCAUCUCUCCGCUUGGUAUAAUUUACAAAAGAUAGGCUAAAGGGUAGGGGCUCGACGAUCAACGCACUGGAACUUUUGUCAUAAAAUUUCAUGCAACCAGCCCAUGAAUGCGCUAUUUUGCUAGUAAUUAAUAAACAUAGUAUACAGUUUCUUUGUUGAUUUGAGCACUUCAGGAAUCUCCUUUUUCUUGCAUUCUUUGAAUUUACAAUGUAUAAAUUGUUCACGAUUUCCCAGAAAAAUAUGUUCUUUGGGAGCUAGAGGCAUGCGCACAAUCGUAUUAUAUGUUUUAUCAUAAUUUUAAAUCACAUUAUUUGCCUUAUUAGAAUGGUUUCUUGAUGACCAACAAAAACAAGUUUUUUUUUCGAAAAAACACAAACAAGUGGCUACAGCUAGGUUAAUUCAAACAAGUUUUGUUAUGUUUGGUUUCUUCUACUGGUGAUAUUAUUCUGUGUUGGGGAUUAUUGACUUAAAGUGAGACAACUGGCAAUAACAUGUUUGGCAUAGUUUUGCUCAAGUGAAUUACUGUUAACUGAAUGUUAUAAUCUGCUAUAUUAUAGAGUAUGUUGGCUUGAUUUAUCAUAAUAAGAAUUCUGAACAAUUUGUUUGCAGGAACCUGAAGGAUCUCUCAUUAAGAGGAACUCUGGGUCCAGAAUUAGGAAGUCUUAGUCAUUUGACAGCUCUGUAAGUAUACAUUUUCAGAUUUACGCCUUGCAAGAAUAUAAAUUGGCAUUGCAUGGACAACAUUAUAUGGUAUUUUGAUACAUGCUCUAUAUUCAACAUAUUAAAGAGAACAUAGUUUGCCUGGCAGGCAACAAUAUCUGAGCAAAGUCAGUUUAAAAAAAUGAGUCAACCACCAUCAGUUAGGACAUUUAAAGUUUAUAUAUCUAACCAACCGGUGAUUACUGAGUUACAUCCUUCAUAGUUACAAUGGUAUGUGCAUAUCAGUCAAACAAAUAUGAGACAAAAAAUCUCAUACGAAGUGUUGGUUUUACACAGUAGCAUGAAAAUUUGGUCCAUCAGUUAAUCAAGGACUUGUUGCUUAAGUAACUGCUUUUGGAAACUUUGAUCAUGUAAUUUUACUUCUGCAUGCGAUUUGAAUAUUUGGUACAGCCAUUUUAAUGUUUUGGAUGUUGCUGUCCACUUCCAGUGUAUUAUCCAACAACAUGUUCAGUGGACCGAUACCUAAGGAGAUUGGCGGUCUUGCAAUGCUGGAGAUUCUUGAUUUAAGCAAUAACAACUUGACUGGGGAAGUUCCACAGGAGAUAGCAGAAAUGCCAUCACUUAAGCAUUUGUAGGUCGUCUGACUGAUUAACUCUGAAUUUUUUACCAACAAGUGAAAUGUCAUGAUACGAUGUCUCUUAUUUGGCAGAUUGCUUUCCAACAAUAGAUUUCAAUGGCCUAUGAUCCAAAAUCCAUAUGGAAACUUUGAUCAGGAAACUGAUUUUGACAUCUAUGAUCAUUCCGGGAGGGGUAAUAUGAAUCAGAGAGCUGAUGAUGGGUAAGAAAACUCAGGAUUUUCUCAUUAAUUCUCCUACAGUUAUCAUUGGAUAUUUUCUAUAACUUAAUUUAGAAAAGGAUUUAUCAGCAGAUGCUGAUGAUAGCAGUUUUUAAAUGUGGACCUUUGUAGGUUCGGGUCUGGUUCUUCAACAGAAGAGAACAAAAAAGACACAAGCAAUCUCUCUGGUAUCUAGCCUACUGUUAUCCAAGUUCAGUUUGUGCCUAAAUAAUCAGCUAGAAACCUAAUAUGCCUUCUUCUUUUUCCCAGCUCGUCUUCCUUCGCAAUUUGCAGCAAGAAACCCAGCUGCUCAGCUUAGCCGGCGCAAACUACUUCAGGAUAGCAAUCUUGCUGCUGCGCCUUCUUCUGCAAAUGCUCCUGUUCCAGCUGCUGUUCCUGUUCCUUCUACUGGAAGUGGCUCAUUUUCAGCAUUUAUUCCCAACAAUGCACCUCCACCAGCUGUGAAAACUCCAAUUAGUCCACCCAUUCACUCUGACACUCCUUCAGAAGCAGUGUCAAAACCAAGAUCUAAAAAGUGGUUGUAUGCAAUUGUGAUUCCAUUGAUUGCUCUAUUGAUUAUUGGCAUCACAUGCAUGCUUUGUCUAUGCCGCAACAAGUCGGUAGCGACAAUAGGUCCAUGGAAAACUGGACUCAGUGGCCAGCUACAAAAGGCAUUUGUGACAGGUAAAUAUUUUGCUUGCUAUGUGAAUAAUGUAAAUUUUGGUGCUUGGAUUUUAUAUCAUCAUCCAGUAAUUUGUGUUCCUUAUGUUGAAAUAAUUUCUCCCCUGCUCCAAAAUUGUCAAUUACCUGGUUGGUUUGCCUGUUACUUAGAAUCUGUUAUAAGUUUUCUGUCCUACUGUACUGCAGGAGUACCCAAGUUGCAACGGUCAGAGCUGGAAGGCGCUUGUGAGGACUUCAGUAACAUCGUGGCAAGCUACCCACACUACACUGUCUACAAGGGAACCUUAUCAAGUGGCGUAGAGAUAGCAGUUGUAUCGACUGUUCUUGCAUCCAGCAAAGAUUGGUCAAAGCAUUCCGAGGGGAUAUUCAGGAAAAAGGUAAUCCAAUGUUACUUUAUUAGAGGAAUAACUCACUCUGUUACUACAAUUUGCAAUGUGGAUCUUAAGCAAAUUCUUCUUUAACUUCUUUUUGGGAACACAUAGAUAGACUCGCUCUCACGAAUUAAUCAUAAGAACUUCAUCAACCUGCUUGGAUACUGUGAGGAGGAGGAGCCUUUCAUGAGGAUGAUGGUGUUAGAAUAUGCACCCAAUGGAACACUCUAUGAGCAUCUCCAUGGUAAAGCUGUAAUGCUAUUCUAUUUCAGUGUACUGUUUGAUCUUUGCAGUCAAAUUAAAAUGUUUUCUUUACUUUUUGCAGUUGAGGGAUUUGAUCAUAUCGAUUGGAAUGGUAGGAUGAGAGUAAUUAUGGGAGUAGCAUACUGUAUCCAACACAUGCAUGAGCUCAACCCUUCUAUAACACACCCUGGUCUACAGUCAAGUGCCAUAUUGUUAUCUGAGGAUGGAGCUGCAAAGGUAUAGUGCAUUUAUUUCUUUGAAUAUCUGAAGAUCAUGAAAGGAUGCACCAUAACUUAUUUAUUUGAAUAUCUGAAGAUCAUCAAAGGGUAUACCAUAUUUUCUGUCUUACCCAAAAUUUUAGUAAUAUGGAAAAAUGGAAUUAUAUUACAUGACUGAUACUUCAUCAUUCUAAACGCAUUUUCUGAACAUUAUACCUUAUAGAAUGAGAGGAAAAAUAUAAAAACGAGAGGAAAAAUAACAUAAAUCAAAUGUGCUCUGUCUGCCCCACAACAAUUAUAGAAUAUUGCCCAGUUCAUCUGUAUAACAUUUUUUUUCUCAACAACACACCAAGUCAUUUUUGAUGGAGUUCAUUUUAUCACACUGGAAUAAGAUCAGGCAUGAGGAUAUCAUAAUAUGCUUUUCCCUAAAACCGAGCCUUUUCACAGAUAGCAGACACGAGUGUUUGGCAAGAAGUAAUAUCCAAAGAAAAGAUGCCCAAGAAUGAUGAUGUCAGCGAGCACCAUGAGCCAAUGCCUGCUGACCCAGCUGGGAAUGUAAGCAGUUUUGGUCUACUCAUGUUGGAAAUCAUCUCAGGAAAGCCUCCAUAUUCUGAAGACAAAGGCUCUCUUGUGAACUUGGUAAUGACAACAAAGACAAAUGUGUACUCAAAUCAACUUGCAAAAUCCACAAAAUGACAUCUUGAAGUAUCAGUAUUUCACCUUUUUGUUUUGUUUCUCACAGGCUUUGGAGUGCAUAAAAGAUGACCGAAGUAUAUCUUGUUUGCUUGAUCCUACCUUGAAGGCUCACAAAGAAAACGAUCUAGAAAUCAUCUGUGAGCUGAUUCAGGAUUGCAUCCAAAGCGAUCCAAAAAGGAGACCAAGUAUGAGAGAGGUCGUCACUAAACUACGAGAAGUGCUAGCGAUUUCACCGGAGGCUGCAACGCCGAGAUUGUCUCCGCUUUGGUGGGCAGAGCUCGAGAUACUUUCAGUUGAAGCAACCUAGGAAGAAACAUGUCCAUAUGGUAUGGUUCUUGCAGCAACACUGAGGUUAUGUGUAUACUGUCUUGCAAACUUGUACAUCUUUGUUGUGAGUAUCUGCUUUUCUGGCGAUUUUCAGUGUCUGCCUGUGUUACCUUCUCCUCCUCCCGCAAAUUUAAAAUUUCCGGGUUGUUUUCUUAUUUCUUCUUGACUUUUCUCUCUAUACUGAACGUACAUGGUGUGGUUGUAGAAUGAUCCAGGUCUUCUUAGAGUUGAUUGUAAUCAGGAGAUGUGUGAUUGUGUAAUGUACCAUGGGGUUUUACGGAAAUAUUCUUUCAUUUUUUUUAAAGGGACAACAAUCAGUAUGGAGGGCGUUGAUAGCUUCUUAAAACGCUGUCCACCUUGUUACAAUGGCACUUUUGUCCUCAUUUUUUCCAGAUCGUCUUUCAACAUGAAAUCACGUAAUUCUUGCAAACACUCGCUUUAAUAUUGGAUCAUGUUUGUAUGUCAUUUCAACACAAUGAGUGCAAUCGCGAGGCAACAUUCUGACACAGGCGUGGCAUUGGCUGUUUGCUGGGCUCUCCUAACUUGUUUUGUGAACGGUAUGCCGUUAGCCUCUGUUUGAUUUGCUCCUGGUCAUGCUGCUCGGCCUCAAGCCCAAGUUCCCUGGUGUUGCUCAGUCUGUCAGUCAUCGCUUGACGUAAGCAAGAUCCGAUACAACAAGAUACAAACAGAGGCAGAACGUCUCAUUUACUCUUUUCGUAUUUGCUACGGUGCUUCUUCGAUCAUGUCACUGUGCUACAUUUUCUGAGAGGUAGCAGUACCUGUGAGAUAGGCAUUUUGCACGCAUGGGUACUACGGUGGGAGCUAUCGUGAAACUGUACUAAUCCCGCGCAAAUUAACAUGGAACGGAAUGAGUAGCAUUUUACACGGCUUGAACAGCUUUGGUAACUGCUGUUGCGCAGUGACCACCAAAAUCUAAAUAAUUCAGAGCACAAAUAACUAAGCACAUAGAAGCCCAGGAAAACCUCACCACGAAGAAGCCCUAGGCAAUUCGCAAGUGAAGUGUCAAAUGACUCAAUAUGAACUGGCACUGGCACUCGGAAAGGUUACACAUAGUAUCGAAUUGAUCCCACAGUAAUGAUCACCACAAAUAGUUUUACACAAAAUACAUAUUUCUUUCCUAAAAAAGGGAUCUUCAUUGAUUCUUAUCGCAUUACAUAGAGCAAGGUAGUACACAUCGAUAAUUUAUUCGCACAAGCAGUUUGGCCGACAAGUUCAGACACCAGAUCAGUGGGGUUCCACUGGAAGCGUUCCAAAGAGUUGAAGGUCCUACAGUGCCUUUAGGAUCUCCUCGGCACCAGAGACUGUGAAUUGACCACCCUCCUCAAUGUUUGCAACAGUGACCUUGAGGUCAUCAGCAAGAAGCGCAAACCGCCUCGAGCGGAGACCCAAUCCUUUCUCUGUAAGAUCAAGCUCAAGACCAAGCACAUUUGUGUAUUUUCCUGCUCCGUCAGCAAGGAAUUUGACAUGCUUGUUCUCAGGGUAUGUCUUCGCCCACGCCUUCAUGACAAAGGGGUCAUUGACUGCAAAAUCAUACUAGGAUAGUGAGUGAAUUCAGUGUUAUUCUGGCUUUGCUUAGGUCAAGACUAUAUGCGAAAAGGGGAUAUAGUGUGUCGAUCUAUCAUCUAUGUAUGAGGACAGAAGGUACCAUAAGAAAAGAAUAGGUGCCAGUGUCUCAGAGCAGAACUUGGUUAAACAUGUAUACUAAAGUGCUAAAAAACACAGGUUCUAGAUGUCUCUAUGCGGUAUUCUAGCCACAUUAAAACAAUGAUAUAUAGGUACACAGGGUCUGUCUGAUAAAAUUACUACUCUAUUAUAGCGCGCACUCGUAUUUCGAGAUUCAACUUUUACCAUCAAUCUGACCAAUAAAACGUGGGUUACGUGCCACAAAAUUAUUAACAUUGAUUUCGUAUCUGAAAAAAGUUUUCCAUGUUAUAAUUUUUUAUAGCCAAUAACUCAUAUUGAUUGUCUAAUUGGUAGCCAAGUUAAAUCUUGGAAUGUGUAUAAUAUGGCAUAACAAAUACCUGUCUAGUAAUCUUGCGAAAAAAUUAUCGUUCUAGUACAAGAUAUACUUGUGUGUUAAUGUAACUCAUUGAGCAGUCAAAAUCAGGCAUCUCUUAGGACUUGGCUGUUUUCUUUUCAAAAAACAUUCAAUAAUGCAGGCAUUCAAAAAACAUGAACUGAUCUUUCAAUGUUAAUUACAAUGGAGCUACCUUACCAUUAUGCAGAGAACACUGAAAGCUCAAAAUAUCCGAUAUGCAGUUUUCUGCCAAUAGCUACUUUCAGAACAUGAUGGGAAAGAUAAAUAAAUGCUGGAAGCAUACCGCUGACAAGCAGGAUCUCAUCUACACCCUUGGCUUUCAGCUGCUCAGCCUGACUAAUGAAACCUGGUACAUGCUGAUUGCUGCAUCCAAAGAAGAAAACACAGGGAGGACACAAUGUGACUAUGCUGGAGUUUCUUUCAGUAAUACGAAAACAGAAAUCUGCAAAUCGGAUACCAAAGAGCAACAGAAUCCCUUUUUCCCGGAAAAAAUAUUAACAAUGUCAUAUACAGACGACGUGGAGUUACCAACAUAGGGUGAUGAUGAGUGAAGAACCACUUGAAUAUCUCAAACUACUUCCAAAUUUACCAAAUUUCGAACAUCUCAAGUAAAAAAAUCUACUGAAGUACUGCUCGAGUAAGCUCUACUAGGUAUCGACUCAAGUUGACAGUUUAGAGCACCCGCCGUGAACAAGUUCUGCAAAACAGCAUUCCUGAAGUUCAGUCGGAUGCAUCCAGGUUUACAAAAUCUCUUUCACUGGUGAAAAUCAAUAACGCAACGCUGUCCAUUAAACGAAAUCCUCCAAAUAUCUUUCCUCAAAACAGUUUUUUUUUCACCUAUACUUCCACGAAAGUAAAUCAAGUCCGGAGGAAGAGGGGAUCCUGGCAAAAAGCAAUUCCAGAGACCCUAUCCACAAAUUUGCAGGGUCCAGGUCCGCGCUCCGCAACGACUACAUCUAAAUAAAACAUGGCGGAUCCUGUUGCAACCGCUCAGUUACGAACAGUCAAACGCUCACAUCGUUUUUCGUCGAUCUGUUGAAUACUCACAAUUUCAAAUCAAAGAAGAAAAAAGAACUGGGGGAAGGACCGAAGGACGAGACCUGCAGGUGGGGGUGAAGGCCCCAGGGACGCCGAAGAGGAUGACCUUCUUGCCGGCGGCUAGGGCGUGGAUGGAGACCUGCUGCAGCUGGUCGUUCUCAUCGAACCAAGCAAGCUGGCCGUCGGGGAGGGUGCUUCCAACGCCAAUCGGAGCCAUGGAUGGUCUUUGCUAUGGGUUGUUGGGACUUGGGAGGGGAUUGGAGAAGGGUCUAGAACUAUAGAACGGAAGGCAGUCAACAGGGGUGGGAAGGAAAGGCAAGCGAAUAAAUACGGAAUUUGCAAUUGAUUGUGGGUGGCCUUUUACUAUGUCGUCGCCUCGUCGGUUGUUGGGAGGAGAAGCAUCGGUUAUGUCACCAUGUGUGAACGCUAAAUUUUCGGAAUAUCCCUGGUCGUAAAUUCCAAAUUGGAUUAUUUAUCUGCGACGACACAAACUGAUUAUUUUUUUGUUCAGUCGGGUAGGAUAAUUGAUUCUUUUUAGUGAGUAGGAUAAUUAAUGUUUUUUUAGAGUGGAUAAUUGAUGUAUGCAGGGGAUUUAGGGUGGGCUUGAUUCAGGGGUUGGGCCACCGGCAGGGUUUAAAUGGCCCGAACCGAUUCUUCCAUGUGUUUGGUUCACGGCUUCGUUUAACCGACCUAAAAUCAGCCCAAAACAGCGGUCUUAUGCGCUUCACACGGGGUGCUCAUCUCUCCCGUCUCUCUCGCGGGACCUUCUCGCUCGCUGCCAUCACUCGUGUUGCCAUGAAGACGGCAGCCUCCUCCUCCUCCUCCUUCGAGACGCGGCGGGCCUGUGCUGGAGGGGCCAGGGGAGUAGGCGUCCAUGGCGAGUGACUCAGCCGAGGCGGAGGACAUGCCAGAGAGGCGGCGGGAGGGAAAGGGAGGCAUGGCGGCAGUAGGCUUGCGCUUGAGGGGCCAAGGGAGUAGGGCGUCGGGGCAGCGCUGGCGGCAGAUUGUUUUGAGGCGGAGGAUGCGCCGGAGACACAGCGGAGAGGGAAGGGGAAGGACGAUUGAGGCGGGGAACAAGCGAUAGAUUGACCUUCCCGACGACGAACGACGUCACGACGGGCGAGCGCGGGGGGGGGGGGGGGGGCAGUGAAAGGGAGGCCAUGGCGGAGGCCUUGAGCGCGAUGGCGAGCGGCGACGGGUUGAGAGAGAGAGAGGCCAUGGUGGCAGAAAGGGAAGGGAGCCACGAGGGAGAGGGGACGCAAGGAGGCAUCACGAGAGGAAGGUGAUGACGACCUCCUAACCAAACAUGAAACUAGUUGUCCCCACCUUUUUUAACUAAACAUGAAAAUUGUUGGCCCCUACGCUAAAAUCUGAUUAGGGCCAACCCUUCUUCUCCACUCACCAACCAAACACACGGUUUAAUGUGUCAUCAAUUAGACAAAGGCUCGUCCUCGAGCCACCUAGCUUCUCAGGUUGGACUGCUUCUGGUUUUGACUUCGAUGGGUGGUUCAAAGAUUUGAUAAAAUUGGUUGGACGUGAUGAUGUUCUUUUAUUCCUUUGUAGCUUUUGUUUUGCCUAUGUGGCUUCUUUGAUACCCAUAAUAUACAGGUAUCUCCCUUUCAAAUAAAUAAAUAAAAUAGAGGUAUAUAAUCCUUUCAAAAUAAACAAAUGAAAUACAGGUCUAUAGUCCCACGUAACAAACAAAUUUGUAAUUAAGAAUUGAAACCCGCCGUGAUGCCGUUAUUUUGUAAAAAGAAUUGAUACCUGUCAGUUGAUCGCAGGAUGCCGUUAUUUCGUCAAAGAAUGUAAAUUUGUAAUUUCUUAACUGAAAAGCACCUAAACACUUAUAUUUUCUGACUCGCUGGGCCGAGUAAAGACGCAAAAAAGAUGGAGCGAAGAAACGCAAAAGCGUCGACAGCAGGAUUCGAACCUGCGCAGGCAAAGCCCAACAGAUUUCGAGUCUGUCUCCUUAACCACUCGGACAUAUCGACUGUUUAUGCUCGCUGGGGCUGCACAAGUUAUUUAUUAGGAAUCCAUAGAUUGAAAUGUCUUGCUUUGAUCUUUUUCAAUCGUCAAAUGGUCUUGAUCAAGAACACGGGAAAUAGUAACAACUCCUUGAAUAACUUUCUUAACACACAGGUCCUGUAUGGUGCAGUGUUUUUGCACGGUCCGGCUGUUUGGCCGCCGUCAGAAGCGGGAGGAGCCGUCGGUCGGAGACGGAACCGGUUCUGGUGCCUGCAGAGGUCCGUCUUGGUCACGGUCUUCUCGUCGAUGAAGACGACGGGCAUGUCGCCGCAGAGGUUCAGUCGCGUGAGGAGAAGCUCGCGUAGCCAGUCCGGCAGCUCCCUGCAUGUGUCGGCUGGCUCAAUUCUGCCAGGACUCGGACCCGGAGCGGCGGCAGCCAGAGCAAGAGGGGCGGCGGCGUAUAUGGGCUCAACGUAAUCUAUAGCCUCGACCUGGUUAUCCGCCGGCAGCAGCGUCCGCCUCUUGGCCCGUUGCUCUGCGGCGUCACCGCGUCAGAGUCCGGCACGGACAGCGUGAGCUCGACCGCUUUGUGUUCUGCGCCGCCGCCGCCGCCGCCGCCACGGGAUUGCUCUUCUCGGCCUCCACCACGAGGCACACAUGGUAAUCGAACCGCCAGGCAUUCUCGAUCUGCACGCUUGCUGCGAAUCUCUCGGCUUUGGCGACAAGUCCAACUCGCGAUUGAGGGGCGUGUGAAAUACUAUGGGCAAUGCUAUGGGCAACCCUGAUCAGGACUAGCUCCGGGCCUCCGGCCGGUGGAAGCCUGGAGGCUGUCGUGCCUGCCAUGGGAAUCGAUUAAUUGGGGAAACCGAUGUGAAAUUAAAACUGGCCGCCGGACUCGAUGGCAUUUCUUGUCACGUCAGAACUGAUUGGUUAGAAAGCAUGCAUCCAGUCCGGCUCGUGCACGAGUUGCUGCCACCCUCAACGAUUGAGGGUUUUCCCCCGAAAAAUAAAUAAAUCCGGACAGGCGAUUCAACGCAUGUUGUCCAACAAUCAGAAUGGGGGUACGAGUUGUACUAUUACUCGACUUGUUGAUAAGGUAUUUGCGAGUAGACCGUUAGCGGUGUUUGUUUGAGACACGAUGAUUCAUGAUUGUUGUGCCUUUCCUAGAAUGCCCUUAAUUCUCUCUUCAAAACAUUCGUUUUCGUACAGAUUUCCUAGCCCCUAAUUCAAAAUCGAUGGUCCCAUCCCAUUUAAACGAAUGCAAGGUCAGAUUCUAGCAGAGGCAAAACAAAAAAAAAUUCUAGUAUAAAAAAGAUGUAAACUACAGUGUAGAAAGCCCCCUUAAAACUUGUUCACACCAUAUAAUUUCUUAAUGUCGGUUUUUUCUCCUUUUUGAAAAAAGGGGAAAAAAAUCUUAAUUAAAUAAAUUCAAAAUUGUCUGAAAUGAAUUCAUCGGAAAGAUACGUGCAAAAAAAAUGUGAGAAAGAUUUGUGCAUUUUGGUGGAUCCAUGUGUGCAGUGCAGGUGGUUCCUAUAAGUUUUGUGCCCAAUUGUUUUACUCCCUCCGUCCAAUCAAAGAUGUCUCAAGUUUGUCAAAAUUUGCAUGUAUAUAGACAUGACUUAGUGUAUAGAUGUGUUGUAGUAAAAUAAAACCUUUAUAUUGGUCGGGCCGUAAAUCCUACGUGACGGCGACUAAGUCAACUUUCCAGCGUGAGUCAAGAUGCUCACGUGGCGUAGUCAAUCCUACAUGAUAAAGGAAGACAAGUCAACAAUUCAAACCUCUAAUACGAUGGUCAAAGAGUGAAAUGAGCUAGAGUAAGGGGCAAGAAAAGUGUGAGGACCAACCAUCAUUUUCUCCCACAUGGUGCACACAAAAGUUAUGUACCAAAAAGAUACUUUUACCAUUUUGCCCUCACUUUUCUCUCUCUCUCAAGAGUAGCCAUGGUCUUUUGUCAUGGAUCCCUAGACUAUAAAUACCCCCCAUGAGGGCAUGUAUCAUUCACUCUCAACUUGAAUAAACUCAAGGGGAGAGGCUAGAGUGCUCCCUCUAAGGUUCGCUCUCGAGCUCCGCUUUCGACUAAAAGUCGACCGGCAUCGAGGAAGCCUUCUAGAAGACUCUAGUUUCGAGGCUCCGAACUAACCUUGGUUAGCACGGGCUCGAAGGAGAAAGGGUUGGGUUAGAGUUCCAAGGUAUCAUAACCUCGAUACUUGGAAAGACGAGUUCGGUCCAAGUACGAGACGGCCCCGAUGAAUCUCUCGCUAAAGAUGUCUUGGGAAGAUCCGCUCAGCCCAAGCAGUUGGCUAACAAUCCCCUCGAAGCCUUUCCUAACAUAGGAUUAAGUCGUACCCGCAGGGUCGACCAAACCUAUUCAAAAAAUAUCGACGUGUCAACUUGUCCAAAUGUACGGCAACUUUCGCUAUAAGGCCGGCAUACACACUCUACUUUUAUACUCGCACUUGUGCAAUCGAGCAUUGGCACCCUUUGCUCUAAUUGUUGUCGAGAACAACAACAAGAUGCAUUCAAAUUUGGUCAAACUUGAGACAUUCUUUGUUGGACGGAGGGAGUAUUCAUGUUCUCCCCCGAAUUGGGGAUUUUGGUUUACGUAUUUCAAUCCUUGUAACCGCCAGAUUAUUUGAAGAUUUCAAUUAUAAUUCUUGAAUUUUAGGCUCCAUUCAUGGGAGGCCAAAACAAGGUAGUAUCAAUGAAAUUGUCAAACGUAUGCAGAACAACAAUCUCACCUGUGAAUUAUACAGACUUAUAGAUUGGUACAUUCGAAUCUAAAAUCUGAAAAGCGUAGGCAUGAAUUUCAUUUGAUUCUUUGCAGAUGGUAAUUAAAAAACGGUUUUACGAACGAUCUCGUAUUCCAACAAUUCAAUUCCAAAAUUUGAAUUCUUGGAGCCAAACACAAGGCACGAUUGAUAGAUUGAAAUCCGAAAUCAAGAAAGAGUAUAGACGUGGAUUGCGAAAUCUAACAAUUCUGCAAAAGCAAGGCCUCGUACGUGUAUGUAGCGCACUUGUUCGGUUCUCUUCUUCCUUCUUCCCUAUCUACGCCGCCGGUUGCCGUUCUUUCUUGGUUAGCAGGACAAAAAGUGGGGUUUCUUGGCACAAGUCGACGCCGAAGUAAUGAAACGUGCGAUCCCUGAAGGCCCAGAUCUGGACGACUUCGUCGUCCUCCGCCUUGAAGCUGCACUGGGUGAUGUAUUGACUGUACCCCUCCCCCUUGAUGACGAUGACGCCGCUGCUCUCCCACCGCGUCAGCUGCAGCUCCUGGAUGCCGGCGUCGAGGUUGACCACGAGCACGGGUAGCCCGCCGUGCUUCUUGCCCAUCCUUUUCCUCCUCCCCUGCAGUUCCUCUUCGGUCGGCGGCGGCCUUGGCGCCGGGGUCUCCUCGCGCGGUAUGCUGGCGGCCUCGAGCUCCUCGUCAGAGAGGAUGGGGCAGAGGUUGCGCAUCACGUCCGGGAUCGGGAGGCGGAAGCGGCUCUGGCGCGAGUCGAGGUCGGUGGCGGUCACGGGCUUCUCGGCGAUGAAGUGCACCGGCAGGUCGAAGCGGAGCCGAAGCCGCGGGAACAGGUGCUCGCGCAGCCACCACGGCUCGGCUGGUUCGCCGGCCGCCUUGGAGGGAGCGGCGGCGGAGAGCGGGACGGCGUCGAUGAUGACGGGCGGCGGCGCCAAGAACGGGACCGGGGCGCCGGCAUUCGCCGAGUGGCUGGCCGCGUUGGCGCGUUGCUCUGCGGCGGCGGGGUCGUACACGGCCAGCAUCAGCGCGUGCGGUCUCUUGAGGCCGGCGUAGCAGCACGGGGGGUUCUUGGUAGGGAGGGGAAGGUUCUUGGCUCGAUCGGUGGAGCACAUGGUGUUCUUGGCUCGCUACUCGAUCGUUGGGAAUUGGGAUCUCCUACGUACGUGUUCUUGGGCGUCUAAGCUUAUCGCGGAAGGCUAAUUCGCUAGUGCUAUCGGUUGCAAUCGCCAAUGGUUCAUGCCGACCUCCCGGAUUAUAUAGAUGGGAUGGGAUGGGAUGCUCGUCGGAAUUGGGCCGAGUCGGUGAAAGAGAGGGCUUUGCCGGCUCCGGGCUCGGAUCUCCUCGUGGCAGGGGAGGACACGUCUAUCGAGAUGGAAGCAUUAAAUGGUGCGUAUCCGAGUACAGCACUCAAUGGAAGAACAGAAAGAUGGCUGGUGGGCCCAGGCUGCGCUGAGCUGUCUGCCCCCCACCCCCUCCUACGCCGGCAGCCAAUGGCGGCCUCCUCCUCCUCCUCCUCCUCCGCGCCAGCACACCCCGUGCGUGAAUCCUCUCUCCGGCAGCGGCGCAUUCCCUCCGCUUCUUCACCCUCGCCUCCCCGCCGCCUCCUGUUCGGCGGUGAGCCGUGAUGGCCUACUACGGUGGCUAUAGAUCAUGGACACCAUCAACCACGAGAGGAGAUGGUGUUGGGUGCUCUUACUGUGGUUCUUGCAGCAAUGGAUCAUGGGUCUCAUCUUCCGCACAGGAGGCAUUCAGUUGUGAUGGGCUGCAGUUGCUCUUCGGCAAUCGGCAUCUUCCGACCUUGAGGCAGGAAGGGGUGUUGCUUGCUCCGCAAGACAGAAAGACGACGGUUGCUAAGCUGAUCCUCACGACCAGAGUCCCAGCAGGUGCAUCUUCACCGGCCUCCACACCCCUGCAAGGACCAACACGGCCAGCAUCGGGCUUGUACCGACUCUGCUUCAGCGACGCCCACCAAGUGUUCGAUGCCAUGCCCCAGUGACGGGUCUGCGGGAUUGUGGCGAAAACCACUGUGUGCCUGUGUCUAUUGAGUGCCCACUAAAGAAGACAAAGGACCGGUGUGCGGAAAGUUGCUGCUUGACUGUUUGUCAAGUUCUGGUGCCUUUUGGCCUUUCCUGCUACAGUCGUGAUCAUUCGUUUCGAGCUCGUUCGCUAGUGAUGCCCAUACUCAGAAGGUGCUCGAUGAAAUGCUGAACAGGAGCAGGAAGAUAAAUUCAAUGGCUAACAGGACUUGGGAGCUGCUCACAUGUUGUGCUGAGCCGUGUGAUGUAAUCAAGCAUGAUCAAGUGUUCUGUUUGCCAUCGGAGUAUAUGUGAUUACCAGUGACAAGACCUGAGGAUUGUGCAAUGAAAACAUUGGUGCUGCUUAUUGUCAAAUGGUAUCAGUCGAUGUUGAGGAGGCUGGCUGAGGUGUUUGUGGAAAAACACUUUUAUCUUCCACAUGUUCCCUCUGCUGUGUUCCCCAUUGGAUCUAACAGCUACAUAUGUUUUUCAGAUUUACUCAGUGAAGGUGCUGACAUAGAGUGUUUCAGAUUCUUUCCACCAAAGAGGGCACACUGUGUAGUUUCACUGCUACUAGAGGUGUGCAGAUAUUUUGUGAGACUCGAAGGUAUUCUCUAUUGGAGGCGUCAUAACGCAUUUUGGCUUGUGGUAGAUCAAGUGUAGACAUGCGGUUGACCAUUACCUUAUAAAUGCAGGGAAGAUUUAUUCAAGCGGAGGCCAAUUAACGGCAGCAAAUGGAAAGGUGAUUACAACUCUUGCAUUGUUAAUUACAAAUGGAAAGGUGAUUACAACUCUUGCAUUAUCAAUAUGCGUCAACCUGUUAAUGUCAAUUUGGUGGAACUAGAGGGCAUUGUUAAUUAUCCUGAUGUAUUAGAAGGACGUUGGUCAUUAUUCACGAUGCAAGUGUACUUGGAUAUCCCGAUAUGCUGACAAUUCCUCACAUCCUUGUGGACUAUCAAUUGUCACCAAGAGACUUCGCUGAAAGUAGAACUACUAUAGUGGGAAGUCUGAGUCUGAAAGUGUGAGUGGUAUAUACAAUGGGACCCUGGAGUUCUGAAGUUCAUUCAUCUAAUAUCACGUGGUGGGUAAUUUGUCGGAGGAUGAGAUUGGAGGGCAUAACCGGGGUGAGUAAUGCGCCGAACCCCUGGACCUCUGCGUCGUGACUCCAACCAGGGAGGGGACUGUCGCACUGCAGAGGCAGGGGAAGACGCAUUAAGGGGGGUAAUUAGAUUCUCUAAUGCCUGCUCGAUCUGAUCAGGAGGUUGGCAUUAUAAAGCCAUCAUACAAGACUUGAGGCCUAAUGCCAGAACCCUAGCAAACUGAAAAAACUAAACAACUUGGAAACAAACUCUAGAAAUGCUAUAUAAUACUAAAUUGAAUGGAUGUGAAUUGAUUCCCUUAUUCACUCGCUGUUCUGUCUGCACCAGCUGAAGCCCUUAUGUGGCAUCAAAAUAAGUGGAUUUCAUGUCAAUCGGUAAGGCACCUGAGGCAUUCCAAACACUUCAGCAUAAAUAUGAAUUUACUAACUAGCUGGAUAUACUGGAGCUGAUGUAUUUCUCAACUCUGCCAUUUCUACUUCCAGUUCCAGGAGAGAGAAGGUGGCCACUGGAUUUGAAUUGAAUCAUAAUACUGAUAUUUUUGUUUCAUUGUUUGCAACUUUGCAAGAUACUACUCCCUCCGUUCCUUUUUAUAAGAUGCUCUAGCUCUGUCCUAAGUCAAACUUCUUGAAGUAAGUUUGACCAUAAUGUCUACAUUAUCCAAUAGUCUUGAGUUCUUAACCAAAGACAAGCACCAAAUAGGCCGGUGGUCAUUUCUCUUUCUCCAAAAUCAAAUUCCUGCGAGCUAUUAUUAUUCGUGGUGAAACACUCAUCCGCAUGCACUUUUUGCCAUUUUUUUCUCCCUCACAAGGGCCAAGAAUGUAGGCUGUGGUGGCUUACUGUACUCGUGUAUUUUGGAUUCGGAACACCACGCAAGAACAUAUUUUGACCGAGUGAUACAAUUACACUAAUUUCACUUUCACCCGAUUGCGGCUCUAUUUUUUUCUCAAACGCGCACCAAGGUUUGCAUCAUUUCCAUUUGAUGAAACACCAAGCAGUCGACAGGUCUUACAACCACAGAAACGAAAGGUGAACCAAAACCAGAGCCAAGCGGUAAGAGAAGAGAAAGCUAGGAAAAAGCUACAAAACCUAUUUCCUAAGAAAGAAGCUAUAAAGCCGAAAUCCAAAAAAACUGUACAACUACAGUACUGCUCCCUGUUCCGACUGAAUUACUGCUCUAAUAUACACAUGAGUGACUCCUGUUUACGCCUGGCAAAGUUGUGCACGACUGCACGGUUAAUUUUCAAUCAUAGAGCAACAUGCCUUUCAUUGAACACUACAAUGGGAUCUUGUGACAUUGCUAGCCAUUUGAUGGUCUAUAAUUUCUUUUGUUCUACUUUCCCUCCAAGAUACUUAUCGAAAAUUGAAAAUAAUCAGCCUGAAAAAAGUACAUAGUGCUGUGGAAUAUUAUUAUUUGAAAUCAUUGUAGUUAGCGAUAGUUAUCAUGGAUGAUGGUAACUAUUUGAUGUAAAAUAAGUUGGAACAAUCCAUCUUACAACUCAAACUACAAUCAAAUUGCAAAUAUUUCUCAUCGCAAGCCCCAACUAUUGUGCCUAUUUUAGAACACUUGAAUGUUAGCGUGUGUACUUCUAUUGCAUGACUUCACUUGGACAAUCCAAAGAAGAAAGCAUGCCAAAAGAUACAUCCUUUCUGCUCAUCUGUUCUUCUUGGCUGCUUGGCCUGUAGUACGAAUCUGGUUCACUGCUUUAGGUAAUACUUUUUUGAGUAAAAUACAUCAUAGGUCCUAUAACUAUUCGAGGUAUGUCAACUGAGUUCUAAUUCUAUCAAAGUGCAUAUUUGGAUCCUAAUUCUUUGUAAGUUGUUCACGCGUGGUCCUAUUCGAACCAGAGCCGCUGCUGACCGGCCUUGUGGCAUGUUGACCGCCACGCUGGCUAACUGACAAGUCGCUGAAAAGUCCAAAUAAGCCCAACCUUUCCGUUUUACUCAUUCUGCGGUCCUUUCCCCUGAUUCUCCCCACCUCGCUCGGAGCAUAGGAACUUGCAGGGGCUGCGGUGUUGGAGGGAAUCCCUUCUUCUUGCCUCUCUUCCACGCUGCGGAAGAGGCACUUGCGGUCGAGACAUGGCAGCGGGCCGGCAGCACGGGCAGCUCAAGCAACGGGAAGAAGAAAGAGAAGAAUGAUAGAAAAUUUGCAACUGGAGUCUCCAUUCUUUAUAAGGGGAUUUAUGCAAAAUUCCAGACCACAGGAACGGUGGGACCUUGGCCGACGUGGCAGCGGUCAACAUGCCACCUGGCAGGUCAGCAGCGGCUCGGGCUCAAAUAGGACCAUGCGUGAACAACUUACAAAGAAUUAGGGUGCAAAUAUGCACUUUGAUAGAAUUAGAACUCACUUGACACACCUCGAAUAGUUACAGGACCUGUGGUGCAUUUUACUACUUUUUUUUGCGCAUACACUGCUUUAGGUAAUACAACUAGCUGUCGCUCUCUUUUCACCCUCUAUCAUGUACAUAUCUUUCUGGCAUCUAUACAUGGCCUAAUUCAUAUUUUUAUCAAUUAUUAUUGAGAUUACAUGGCUGUGGCAUAACUGUUCCCAGUUUCCUCCAUUGUGCAUUGUGGCAAGUGCUCUUUGCAUCACCACUACCUCGUUUUAGAGUAAGCCUGACAUUGUGCAAGGCUAUGCCAUGGCAAGGUACAGUUGGACUGCAAUUCAGCUUGAUAGCUUCUCUUGAGGCACUUGUACCCCUGAUGUUCUUAAACAACACAUUACUCACCUCCACUGCCGAUUGCUGCGACAAUUGCACAGGUCAUAUCUAUGCACAUAACAAAUGAACAAAACCAACUUGGUUGUCGAGUUUGUACCUGUUUCUUACAUGGUGUAGCAGAGUCGCAAUAGUUCUGGUUGAUAAUGAUUGGGUUCCAUACAUUAUCCAUGAUUAUGUUCUGGAACACGAUAUUCUUUGCAUAACCACGUCCCCCCUGCCAUGUCUUGAUACGAGCUCCAUUUGUCGUGCCAUGUAGUCGCACACCGUCGAUGGUGAUAUUUGCAACUUCAGCUUCAGAGUUGCGAUCACCUAAGCUCCCAAUGCUGAUCCCAUGACCUGGUCCACACACGAUGUUCUUCACAUGUAGGUUCUUAGUUCCGUCCUCGAUUGACAUGCAGUCGUCCCCAGUCUUGAUUGCGCAGUCUCUGACUUUCACAUCCUUACUAUGGGCGAUAUGGAUGCCGUCAGUGUUGGGGCUAGUGCUGGGGGCUGUGAUUGAUAGGCGGGAUAUCCUUACAUCACUGCAACACUCCACUGACAUGUGGAUUUGUUGGCUAUUUAACAGUUCUAAAUUGUUUACUUUCAGGUUUGUACAAGAGUAGAACGUCAAAGCCUGCAAAUUGAAAAGAAAAAUAGUCGAUUUGUAAUGAAGAAAACAAGGCUAGUUCACUGUGAUAAAGAUAAGAAGAUUGUAGAAGUGCACUCACUGCUGGAGAUUGUCUGCAAGGCUGAAAGGAAAAGAAAAGAAUAAUUUAUAUUGCUUUCAGAAAAUAUGAAUCUGUGCUUUUCAAACAUAGCACUAAUGGAAGCUGUAUUAGUUAACCUUUAAACUUGAAAGUGACAUCACAUUUUCACAGUGCUAGGAGAUACAUUUCAUUAGUGAACAAUUUAAAAGUUCAAAAUACUUACGAGUUCUGCAUUUACUUUGCAGGAGUUCUGCCACCAUAUCUUGCCAUUUCCAUCAAUGGUCCCACCACCAGUGACAGUCAGACCUCUCACAGCUUUGAACAGAAUCCAGUGCCUAAUGGUUUGCUCGAUCCAAUAUGAUCUCUUUUGAGGAGCCACCAAAGUACCCUCUAUCUGGAAUUUGGUGGAAUUUGAGAUCUUUGUUUGGAAAAUUUCUUAUGAAAACAAAGAAUAUAUGCAUUGUUCUUGUUAUCCAUCUAUCUCACCAUUAACUUAAUAUUGGAUUUGCAUGGGCCAGAAAAGGUUACAUGCUUCGUGAGGUAUUUAUUGCCCUUGGGAAUGAGCAGAAUGCCAGGAUGAGAAGAGGAGCAAGCUGCAGCCCACGUCUUUUCCAGUGCCUACAAGAAGGGGAUGCACAAAAAACCUGUGGUAAGCAUUCCAUGUUCACUUUCAUGUCUAGGGAAAGAAAAAUCAUGCUCUAUAUUUCAAGGUGUUGUUGCAUUUCACGUACCUUUGUGUCAUCAUGGCGUCCAUCCCCAUGAGCCCCAUAUCUGAGCACAUUGAAGACAUUAUUUGAAGCUAGAAACCGGCCUCUGUGAUCAACCCCAUUUGUCAAAGGGAUCACUUCCAUGUGUCCCUUGGCGAGUACACAGCACACUAACAAUGGCACUAUACGGAACGCAGAGAAAGCGAGCACAUUGGAGGCCAUUUGUAGAAGUAGAAGAAUGCCUCCUUAGGUAUGUGGUGUUGUAUGCAACGACUGAUGGGAUCAAGCCUAACAUCGGUAGGAUUAUUUGUAGGUGCCAAGUUGGGUUGGAAAUCUUUGGAUCUUCCCCGUUCAGGUUGCUUCGGGUUGAUUAGAUAAGUUGGCAUAUAUGUUUGGAGUGUAGCAAUAGAAGAUUCUACUGGGAUGGGAAUCGAGAGAAAUGUGCUUAAAAAGUUGUGCUGCCCAUUACUUCCAGCUAACCCGUUUGGCUCUUGAGGUUGCAGCACUAAGAUGCUAGUAGUAAAAUUUAGAACACCUGGAGCACUCGCUAUGGAGAAAAAUCACGCAAAAAAUACAUGCAUUUUUCGGUGCUGCACUCUUCAGGCCCACUUUACAUGACAAUUUUAACCUGACAGAUGUGCGCUAUGCAGGUUUGUGGAAAUGGUGAAUCAUUUUGCACCUCAUCAGUGCUAAUUACAACUCUUUAGGGAAAGAAGGCAUGUUCAUGUGAACAUCAACUUUUUCAGGAAGGUCUCUGAAUAUUGCUGAACAGAACUUUCAUUCAGUUAUAGGAUCUUAGCUGAAAAAGGAAAGACAUGGGGCUCGAUCCAAGGGUGCCGGUCUGAUGGAGAUUUCUUGCGCUGAAAUUUUUGUACGGGUUGUGGGAUCCUUGCGAGCAUGAAGAAUAUGUGGAGUAAGGAGGUGAACAACCUUUGUUGAAGCUUCCAAGUAUAGAGGCUAGAAGAACAUUUUUUGGUUGCUAGAAACAGCAGGAUGUGCUUAAAUUUGGCCAAUUAGAUUUGCUGCGCUCUGCAAACACACCAGAGAUUUGAGGACCCUGAGAGAUGUAUGAGCCACAUGUAUGCCAACAAAUGUAAACACAGUAGAGAUUUCAGGCCUGAGAGAUGUAUGAGCCGCAUGCAUGCCAACAAAUGUAACCCAUUCACCCCGUGAAAUUGAUAAAUCGUUGAGGCCACAGCUAACCAAAGCAAUCAAGUACCAAGCUGUAAUGAAAAAUGUCAUGUGAAUGUGCAUCUACAUUUGCCAAGAAGGAAGUACAUCUAUUCGUGUCCCAGUAACAACCAAUAGUAAUUACAGUACAUAUUGGUUAACUGAUUAUUCACAUCUAUGCACCGGAACCCACUCUUCAGAUGCCACCAGUGCGGUAGGUGCACAUCGGACCACAGCACCGAAAUGCCGUGCUCCCAGUAGUGCUGGGCAGUACGCACGUCAACGUACUGCCGGCCUGGGUGCCGCACCGACGACGUGACGCGGAAGGGUGUCGCCAUCGGUGCUGACUGGACCACGGCACCAGAAUGUCGUGCUCCCAGUAGUGCUAGGCAGUACGCACGUCAACGUACUGCCGGCCUGGGUGCCGCACCGACGACGUGACGCGAAAGGGCGUCGCCAUCGGUGCCAGUCAGCCGCAGUUGCGUGACCCCAACGAGAACCCCGCCUCGUGGUCGUGCUUGCACGACGGCCACAUCUUCUUCAGGGCCAUGGCGGACAGUUGCCGGAGAGCUAGCCAGGGUUUGGGCUGGGGUUUUGGUGCUCGGCGGCAAAGUGGGUGGGUGCACGAAAUGGGGACGGGGCCGGUCCCCAUUUAAUAUGACCGCGACAGGGAGUGUUGGGUGGGGACAGGAAAGGCGAGGGGGUCUGAUCGCGCGCACCAACCGGACCACGCGGCGCUCCAUUUGGCGUCCAUGGAGACGCAAACCCGCCUCAAGUUUGGGGCCGGACUGCGUUUAGGCGGACCAAAAUCCGGACCGCGGCGCAAAUGGGUCGCCCUGCUGGUGACGCAUUUUGUCCGUUCCGACCCGAACGGACCGCGCCAAACCAAAUGCGUCACCCGUCUACCACGAUUUGGCGAUCCGAGAAGGCUAGCUCUUCUGUCUUGGUUUACGGUGCACAAACUUCUUACUCCUUGGGAAAGUCACAGCAGGCAGAGCUCCGCAUUUUGCACGGUAAGUCUUUACGGAUUUUGCACAAAACAGCAUACAUGAUGCUCAUGGACAACUCAAAACAGAUACAAAUACGAUGCCACAAGGAGAAUUAUGAACUGGGAAGAAAACAGAAACCAAGCAGGACAGCACAUACUGUCGAAUCCAAUCUGUGAUUUUGAUUUAGCUUUUGCUCAUGUAUCAAGAAUAUAAUAUGUCUUUGCUCUUCAAUAGUUGCAAUGGGGCAAAGUUACACAUCUGUAAGGUGAUAUAUGCAUGUAAAACAGAGAAAAAAGAUGUACAUGACUAAACCUAGCCGGAUGAAUAUGGGUAAAAUAUGAGCAUCGAAAAAGAAUGCAGCAGAGGGGGAGGGAGAGAAAGGGGGAUGUUUUCUUUUGUCAGACUUCUUUCUUUCAACUUUUUACUAGUAUAUGGCAUUAUUUUGAGCAAGAUCUUGGCAGAGCAGCUUCGCGUGAUCCUGGACGCGGCCAAGUUCAGGAAGGCAUCACUCACUAUAGUAUGAGCAAACAAAAAGCUGGUGUGGCAAGACAGUUACGUUAUUGGCACAACAGCAUCUAGGUUCUUCUGCAGCAGCCAGCCAGUAGGGUAGUUGAGUUGAGGAGGUUCCAAAUCAAAAUUCCAGACCAUAAUCCGAGUGCAAUUGUCUGCUAGGCCUUCCAUUUGACUCUCAUCCUCCACAAGCCUCUCAAUAAAUCUUGACUCCUGCAAUGCCACCAUGUUUCAGUAUAUUGAUGCUUUCUUGAUAUGCUAGUGUAUAUAUAGUAAGCAUUGCCUUAGCAGGUCAUGUAUAUCAUACACUACAGGAAAUGGUAUGCAACUCUGGUUCCUUAAAAGCACUGUGUCGGAUAUACUUGCUCUAAUAAAUAUCCCAAUGAUUACAGAUGUUCACUUCAACAGAUUGUACCUUCACAGAGCCUACUUAAUAUUAAUAUUGCAGAGUUUCAGCUAGGAUGGUAAUUUCUUCACAAAGAGUAGAAUAAUCGCAUGCUCAGGGGAUAUUUUCAAACUAAAACUUAGCUAAGCUGAAAUUAAGAUAUCAAGUCAAUUCAUCUACCUGGGUAUUCUGACAUUUACUGAAGAAAGAACUCACCUGCAAUCCACCCCUGCCACCUGAAUGGAGUAUAAUAGAUUCUAGGGUGGGGCUCUUCCAUCUCUUCGGAUCCCAAAGUAUAGUGCUAUUAAAAGCAAAUCCAGAGAAACCAAUUGGAAAUCGUCGAAGUACACCCCUUCCCUGGUUUGUAUGCCAUCCCGUGACCUGGUCACCCUUACAAAGGGGCCCUUCUAAAGCCACUCUGUACUUGGUCCCAACAUGUGUUGCUACUGGCCAUGUACCAAAGCGCCUGCAGAACAUAGCACAAAAUUAUGAGGUUCAUCUUAACUGUUACAAUGAGAAACAAAUGCUCUGCAAGAAUAGGUCGCAUUUCAUGUUAUUGGGUUCAGUAACAGACAUUUUGAUGUAAAAUUUCAAGCAGAGAUUACCACCUCUCUUGGUUUCACCUGAGAACAAACACCAUUUCGCAUCCUCUAUAAUUCUAUCACCACUUAACUGCGAUUAUAGAACCGCACAUCAUGAUACCUAUAACUGACACAUCCCUAGAACUAGUUCAGAUAAAUAACUCCUGACAAGGGAUAUCAUUUGGGCCCUCUGUACUUCUAUCACCACUUGACUGAGAUUACAUCACCACCCAUCAUGAUACCUAUAAUUGAUGCAUCUCUAGAACUAAAUUAGAUAAAAGACUCCUGGCAACUUUUAUUUGACCAUCUGUAGAAUGGAGAAAUGGAUUCGUCUAGGGUCAGGACUAAAUCCCAGGCCUGGCAGAUUAGGAGUUCAAACCUAUUUAGCAUUCUAGGAUAUCUCAGCAAAGAACAUUUAUAUAAAUAGAGUUCAAGUUUGUCAACCUGUUGUCUCACCGGGACGCACAACUACUUCUCUGUAUAAUUUGUAAUAAAGUGGUUAUCUCAAAGCCUUUAUAAAUUCUGUAAUUAUUAGGUUAGCCGGCAAUAAAAAAAUUCAUCUCACACCUGACUAGACAAACAAGACGUUUUGAUGGGUCUCUUUAUAACGCCUGUAAAGUAAUCAUCAAUCAAGCUUUUAUUUAGUGGAGAAAACUUUGUGUCCUACUACCACUACAAUGCUUAAAAUAGUCCAUGUUUUGCUACGUGGGACAUCUUUUAGCACCAAACAUCGGGAACAGGAAAUAAACACAAAGCUACUAGAAAUAAAGAAUGGAAAAGUGGAACAAAAGGAGGAAAGAAAACAUGCAUCUCUGUGUCAGACUCCAUCCAACCCAAUAAUGUGUACUUUAGCUUCAAGAAAAUAACCUAUUACCAUAGUUGAUUGUAAAGUUUAGAACAUUACUCAGUCUCAGCAGAUUUGACAAGGAGAAGAAUAUUUCAUACUAACUAGCAACCGUGGACUCAGUGUUCAAUUGUUCAUAAGCAACAAGCAGUUCCAAGAUUAUUUUACAUCAUCGACAUGCAGUGAGCAAUACGAAGGUCAGCAUAAGCCGAGAAAUAAUAGAUUCGUCAGCAUAAGCCAAGACAUAAUAGAUUCUAAAAUUUGAUGACAAGGUAAAAUGAUGAAGACGCGUAUUAACACUGAGUUUUGUGUCAAGAUUUUAAUAUUUUUUGCUACAGGUUCGUAAUAACUUGCAGCAAAGAAAAUGCUAGUACAGAACUGUCACCUGAUUUUCCGCAUUUCUUCAAAUAGAUCAACUGAGUAUGCUCUCUCCUCAUCAGCGAAAUGCACUAUCCCAUCUAGACGGUGCUUCUUUAUAUGAAAAAUUGCAUUAUUCUUUUGGCAGACAAUAAUCUUCCUAAUAUUUGUAGCGUUCCUGUUGCAGACAAUAUGUCUGUACAUGAUCCCAGAUGACCUCAGGAUUUCUACUGUUUCACGGGACUGAUAUGGCCACUCUGCUACUAUCCACAGGAGAGGAGGCGGUACAUCCUUCAAAACAUGAACCAGACGGUUAAGGUAAUAUGCCUGGUGUGGUCGAACGGUUGUUGCCGUGACAACUAUUAGCUGCUUUCUCAUAACAAUACCAGAAUCAUUAACAGAACGUAGAAUGGAGGAGGCUUCCACAAAAUCUGCCUCAUCAUCCAACAUUGCAGGAACUGGAGGACUGUCCUCAACCUGUGGCUCAUUCAUUGGUUCAGCUUCAGCCUCUGCUACGAAUGGCUCCAACUCGGUGCCUUGAUGUUCUAUCAUCUGCCGUCUAUCAAUCACAUCACCGUCGAAUGGAAGCACCGCCUUUUCAGAAGGCAUGUUCUUUGAUAAAUCAGCAGGGAAGAGCGGGGUGCAUCCGAUGAAAAUGCCAAUCAUGAAACACACAGAUAGACGGAUCAUGGCCCUUUCCCAGCCCAUCCCCUUUGACUUUGGUCUCUCCAAGGACCUAGCAUGCUUGUGGGACAAUAUAACUGCCCAUGCAGAUUUAAUGCUGCUCGACAUCAGGACAAGAUCAAGUGAAGCCAGUGAAGUCAGCAGCCCCCUCAUUGCAACAUAGGACUGUGAGUACGCCAUCUUGGGAGACGGAGAGGGAUCAAAUUCUGACCAGUCCUUAACCGACCCCUCUCGCUGCAUUGCCCCAGCAUUUCUUCGGGCCAUUGCACAUGUACAGCUCUAGAGUCGCAGGCACAACCUUUCUGACCCAAUAAUGCCGUUUUACCAACAAGAUGGGCUCCAAUCACUUCAUCUGAUACCAGCUCAGACGUAAACCGAUCAGUUACCCAACAGGAACAGGCUUCGCAGCACAGGUAUUGUGAUUCUGUCCGCAGAAUUCCAACUGUACACCGAAAUAACGCUUCAAAACUUCAGCCUUCUCUCCUGCUGUGACCAAAAUUGGAACAUAUUAGAGCAUGAAAAUCACGGGCGGAGGGCCGCCCUACCUUGAUUUUUGCCUCAGUUACGAAUUGGGGAAGAUUAUGAAACGGGAAGCUAAAGGGCGGAAUCCGUUCGUGGGGUGAUGGGAGGAGAAACGGUGGGGAGCGAGAGAAUCGAAGGGGAGACCAACCUGCGGUGGAGGCGCUCGCGCGAGGAGGAAGACGAGCUAGGGUGCUCGGCAGCGGGAUGGGUGGCGGCUCUCGGGCGAGGAGGAAGAAGAUCCACGGAGCGAGGGGUCUGGGUCGCUCGGCAGCGAGAUGGGGGCAGAGGGAGGGAGGGGAGGUAUAGCUGGCCAACAACCGAGGGCGAGGAGUGCCAAGGAGUAAAUGAGCUUGAAAAAAGGAUAGUUUUAGAAUUGAGUAAAAAAAGAUGGAGUAGUUCACAAACUUAUAAAAUGCAACAAUAACAUCUUAAACCUUGAUUAAUGAUACUGUAUAAGAAUACAUGGAUGAAACAUGUUAGAUGUCGUAAUUGUUGCAUCAAAUUGUUGGCUAUUCGAAUUAACUUUAAGACAAAUUAAUAAAUCGAUAAAUCGUUUGUUAGAUGUACAUUUGUUUCGGCCUUCGGAAUGUGUACAUGCGUCUCUGUAUAAAAUAAAUCUGCAAAUUUUUUCAACUAAUUUAACUCUAAAUCGUUAGAGGAAGCGAUGGCGAUGACUUGUCAAGCUAAGCAUUUGGACGGUGUCCGACAAAAACAUCGUAGGAGGCAGCGACGACGGGUCAAUUGUCGCCUACUUCGACGGCCAGUUUUCGACGACGGCGCUCGUGUGAGGCGGUGCAUGUGGCGUUCCAACGUGCCUUUGCGGAAUCGACAACGAUUGGCCUGCAAAGACCGGCUCUUCCGGAGACGCAACUUCUCGCACUUAUAGUUAUUUUAGCUAUCUACUGUUGAUGUACAUUUACGGUUGGUCACUGAUGUCUCAAUUGUCGUUCAUUUACUCAUAUUUCUUGCUUAAUGAAAGUUGAUAUGAAAAUCAUCUUACUUAAUGACAGUAGAUAUGAUACAUAUUUUUUCUUCGUGUGAUAUGUUUAGAACACUUUCAAAACAAUUUACGACCACCACCCAUUCCUGUCACAUGCUACACACGUCUUUUUCAUGUGAUAUGUUUAGAACACUUUCAAAACAAUUUACGACCACCACCCAUUCCUGUCACAUGCUACACGCGUCUAAUGUGGCAAUCUUAAAGGUAUCCAAAUUGAUGUCCCUCUCAGCCACCAAAUGUUUGCUUCAAGUGCUUCCUAAGAAAUAACCGAAAAGCUUCCUCCCAAAGUUUCUAUUUAAUCCUCCAGAAAUGAAAGGAGCCCUGGGGUCCUAGGUGCAAAACAGACGGCAGCCUUGAACUACGGAAAAGCUUGAGUCGCGAGGGAAGCCAGGAGCGACGACGCCCCACCCGCCGUUGGUUCGCGCCACGGGGGUUCAUCUGAACCACCCCUCUCUGCCGGCCGCACGACGCGUAUCACGUAAAACUUGAGCUCAAGUACGUCAUGUGAGUAUUGAUGUCUUCUGUGAGCACACGAGUAGACAAACAGGUGGUCGAACAAAACAAACCACGACUGACUUUUCUCAAUUGUACUCUCCUACUUGCUUCGAUCCUCUGAAUAUUCCAUCCGAUCUUCCUGAGUUACACCAUGUGCUGGUACCAGGAACUAGUAUUAGGCUGCCGUUUGUGAAUUGGUCACGUGGAUUUUUCUUAAUUCCAUCUAUGUUUACGUUUGGCAGCAUCUAUACAUCUAUACUGUUACUAAUAUUCUCUUUCUGAUUUUAAAUUCUUGACUCAAAUUUGUCUAAAUAUGAAUGUAUCUAUUUUUAAAAAAGUCUAAAUACAUGUAAUAUUUCGACAAUAAUUUAGGAUCGUAGAGAGUACUUUUAAUCAGCUAUCUAGCUGGCACUAGAAUUAAAUAAUUGCAUUUGGUCAGAAUUUUCUUUAUUAUUUAUUUAAUCUAACCAUCCGUACCUCUGGAGUUAGGUAUAUUGUGAAACAGCUUGCAUUGAACGUCUUUCUCCACUUUUUUUUAUAAAAACAACAACAUAAGCGUAUCCGAAAACCUUGUAUCUUUUCGUCCCGAAGAAAACCUUCUACCGACAGAGUCUGUCUCCAGACAGGCGUAUAUUAAUCGGAGAAGACCGAUUCAAAUCACACGUCCACUCCCACAAAUGAAAUUCUAACAUUCCCCACCGCGCGCGCACAGUAUCACGACAAAGCUGGUUGGUUGCUUCGUUCUUCGAUCGAUGUUUCAGUUCUCAUGUUCCUGUUCCUACGAGCAACGGAGCAAGCACGCAUGGCAAUUGCAAUUGCACUGAGGUCAACACCCAACAGCGCCCACCUCGAAGCCUCUCUCCGACUCCCCCCCAAAGCUCCUCCCUGUACGGAGAAACUGCAGAUGCGUGCGCAGCGUGUGGAAAGAGCUAGCCGAAUGCUUUAGACACGAGCGCGCGUGCCGGUUCGUUGGUGCCGCGUCUUCGUAGGAGUUUGGUGCCUGGCUCUGGCUCUGGCACCGGCAGCGAGUCGCGUGAAAGAGAUCGUGCCGUUGCACGGUCCCUUUUUUACGAUCCGGCGGGGGUCUUUGACGACAAGCGCCCGGCACCGAACCCCUGGCGCUCGCGUCGACACCUCGGUCCUUUUUUAGUUUUUGUUGUCACCUAAUACACGAACCAUCCUCCUGACGAGUACGGACUACCUGACCGCAGUGCAAAGCAACAGGGGGUGUAGGAGACUGACUGUUCGAUGUGGCACGUUUUCGCGACAGACAAACUGGGGGCCUCGCCUAUGCUGUGCGUGGGUGUCGCUGUUAUGCACUUAAAUAUGGUACUGCAUCGUGGAAUGGAAAAUAUAGGUUUGUUGAAAUCUUCGGCGUGUGUUGCUGUAGCUUGAUUUUGAAGAGUAAGGGGUGAUUUGGUGCACGCGAAAUUGAACCAUGGCACGUGGAGUGCACAUCAAGCAAGCCGUAAGGCACAUCUUCGGCUCUUCGCUGCUUCUUUUUUUAGAACUUUUUUUAGAACUAGGCAGACCGAAAACGUGAAUGUGGGUUGCAUCGCGACGGGCGACCAGGGGAUCUCGGCCCACGUGCAAUUGCCCGUGCCUCCGCCUGGGCUGUUCCAGGCCCAAAUAAUAGAUCUCCACGGAUGCUGAAUGCAUCUAGGCCCAACUGCUACCAUUUCAACCUUCCACGCUUGCUUCGUAGGAAAUUUAGGUUUGUGACCUACCCUUGUUCCUCUUUCUUAUCGGUGGUGCCGCUCACAGUGCAUAUUGAGGUUAGGGGGUGAAACCUUUUAUAUUGCUAAUUCUAAAGUCCUAAUCUGUAUGCAUAUAAGAUUCCAAGUUUAAACAAACUUGUUUUAGAUUGAGUCAAGGUUUAAUCAGUAACCGCAAUAUAAUUAACCUUUAAUCAGACACUUAUCUGUGACUUCCCAGGACACACAUGUGUGAGUCAUGCGAGUCAUGCGCCAUCAGAUUAGGACAAUCAACUUAGGUCGUUUCAAUUAGUAUUGUACCCGGGUGAUCUUUCUAGUAUAUUAAUAUUGUAUUCCAAAACUAAUCUUCAUGAAGUAUUUACUUAAGUACACCUUGAGUAUGUGUAAAUUCCUCAAGUACAAAUACCAUCAAGUAAUCAUUCCAGAUCAACAAUAAUUCCACAUUAAGGUAUUAUUUCCAAAUGAGAUUAAAUAGUUGCACGACAUAAAAUUCCUACAUCCCUCCCACUUGUCCAAAACAUUUAAUGAAAUAACCAAAAGACCAUUUAUGUCACUGAAAAUAAUUCUGAGAAUAAUUCCUGCCUAACUGGCUUAGUCAGUGCAAUAAUGAUAUACUCAUAUGGGACAAAUAAUCCAAAAACCAACAACAUGAAUGUGGUAUAUAUUCCCUCAAUGUGUUUACCUUAUGAAGAUCUUGAUCGCUUCAGCACUUCCACAUUAUUAACAUAACAGUACCAACUUCCGAUGUACAUUCCACAACCUUAAGUGGAGUAAGAAAUUCCCUUAGCCACUACUCCCUUCAAUGCUCAAGAUGCAUCAAAAUAUUAACCUUUCAUAAAAGAACAACCGAAUCAUGUUUCCAUUUACCGCAAAAGAUAGCACCUCGUUCCAAAGUAUAUAUUGGUUGAAAGUUUUCCAAUCAUCCAAAUCUUUUUCCCUUAUAGUAUAAUAAAUAGCCGAAGAUUGUGUCCAUCAAACAUAAUGAAUAACCCAUAUAGUUCCUUUGACAUUGUGCAGUAAAUGUGUCAUAUAAUUCCAGUGCUCUUUUCCAGGAUUUGUUUGACAGUUACCAAUAAUUCCAGGAAAUGUCGUUUUCCAUGCUAAUCAAGAUAGCAAUAAUUCCAGCAAUAUGACUAAGGUUUGGUUGCAAUAAUAAUAUCUCAAAAUAAAUAAUUAUGAGAUGUCAAUUAUUCUUCCUUUCCUUAGGAGUUCAAACAUUAUUCCUCGCUAAGUGUAAUUCACUUCAUAAAGGUAUUUUUGUUCCAACAGGUUUGCAAAUUCCAUAGAUAAAUAAUUCAAAACUAUUAUCUAAGUAUUUUCAUUCCCUAAGCAUGAUAAAAUCAUAAACAUUCCUUUCAUAUGAAAGUUAGGAAACAAUAGCGAAGCUUUCACUUCAUCAAUGUGACUUUGAGUUUACAACCACUAACAACAUUAGCAUAUAUACAACAUAAAAUAAUUUAUACAUACCUCUGUACGUAAGAGCCUUCCGCCAUUAAGAUAAAUCAUUAUGGCAUUAAAUUCCGUUGACGUGAAGCUUAUUGUAAGACCAUAAAUUGAUCCAUCCCAUUUAGCAAUACCUGUUUUUAUUUCCACUUUAUCCAAAUUCCAAAGAAGCAUGCAAGAGGAGAAAGAGUUUUCACAAAGUACAUGAAUUCCCUUUGUGUGAAUCGUUUAAUAAGAAGACCCGCAUCAACAACUUCCACAGAGCCGUAAUUUUCUUGUAAAUAGAAUUUAUUUACAACAUAUGAGCUUGUAGUAGUCUGGUAAAAUGGUAAGUUCCCAAACUUUAUUUUUCCUGCAUUAUUUCCACUCAUAGUUCACAUAUUAAGCUCUAGCUGAUUCACAUGACUUUAGUCCUUUCUCUAAAAUUUAGAGUGACUUCCCCAAGAACACAAAUGAUAGUCCAAAUUAAUUCCUCCGACUUAACAUGCGGCCUAAUUUCAACACCAGCUACUAAUUAAAAGCAAAUAUGAAUGAAUGAUUUGCCCGUAAACCAAACAAUUACUAAUAAAUACUCCCUCUGAUCCUAAAUUCUUGACUUAGUCCAAAUAUGGAUGUAUCUAUUAUUAAAAAAACGUCUAGAUACAUGUAAUAUUUUGACAACAAUUUAGGAUCGGAGGGAGUAUCUUGUAAAGAAAAUAAAUUGACUUGAUCUUGAUCUAAAUUUUUAUGCGAGUAUAGAUAGAAGAAUUACGGAGAACUGUAAACUCGCGUUAUGUUUUGUUAUUUAAACUAUUAGAUUGUGUAUUUAACGAUCAAUAUUUAACGAGCAUGGCAUAUAAUUUGACACACACAUGAUCUAUCGUGCAAACAAUUGAUCCAUCAAAUUCUCAUAUGACUUUAAUUUUGUGUAUAGACGGAUUAUAACGCGUAAUUAGUCAUAUGAGAUAAAGAACAAAGAUUGAUAGGUGAUCUGAACUUUAGUUACAAAUUGUUGUAGUAAAAUAAAACCCUUAUAUGGGCCGGGCCGUGAAUCCUACGUGGCAACGACCAAGUCAAUAUUUCCCUACAAGGGCCAGGAUGCCUGCAUGGCACGGUCAAUCCUACGUGGCAACAAUCAAGACUAGUCAACAAGUCAAGCAUCUCAUGCCUUGGUCAAAGGGAGAAAAGAGCUUGAGUAGUGGGCAAGAAAGGUGUUGGGAUGGGGCCUUUAGUCCAUGGUGGACCAUGGACCAAACCCCCACUUUUCCCACUUGGUGCACACAAAAGCUAUGGACCAAGAAGCUACUUUUACCAUUUUGCCCCCACUUUUUUCUCUCUCUCAAGGGUAGCCAUGGUCUUUUGUCAUGUACCCCUAGGCUAUAAAUACUCCCCCAUGGGGGCAUGUACCAUUCACUCUCAACUUGAAUAAACUCAAUGGGAGAGAGCUAGAGAGCCUCUUUGAGAGGAGCUCUAGUUUCGGGAUCUCGGGAAGCCUCGUUCGGCCCGAACCCGAAGGAGAGGGAAUCGGGUUAGAGUCCUAAGGGUAUCUCGACCUCGCUACUUGGCAAGCCUCGCUCGGCCCAAGUACGAGGCGGCCCCUUUCGACCUCUCGCUAAGUGUUUCGGAGAGUCUUGAUCGACCCGAAACACUUUGGCUAACGAUUUCCUCGAAACCUCUCCUAACAUAGGACUAGGUCGCACCCGCAGGAUGGACCGAACCUAUUCAAAAAAUAUCGAUGUACCAACUUGUCCAAGUGUACGGCGACCUUCGCUAUAAGGCCGGCGUACACGCCCUACUUUUAUGCACUUGUGCCAUCGAGCUUGGACACCCCUUACUCUAAUUGUUGUCGAGAACAUAACACAAAUAAUAAGCAAAUAUCACCUAAUUUUGUUUUGCGCCAUCUGAAUUAUGUAUGCCAUUAUAUAAUAAAAGCACAAUACAUUAUCAUAGAGAGAAAACUGCACGUUGAUCCACAUGAUCAACUAAAUUAUUUAAAAUAUUUGAUUCUAUAUUUAGCAGUCAAGAUUUAAUGAUUUAUUAUCACGGACAUCCAACCUUCUAACAUAAGCAACUACGCGCGAUUUGCAGUGCAAACAACCAAUCCAUCAAUUUAACGUUUGAAUUUGAGCGUUGUUACAAAUGUGAUGUACGUCACAUAUGACCAAUUAUCUCAGGUACAGACCAGUGGUUGAUAGGUGAUCCGAACUUCAAUUACAAAUAAUGCUAAUUUAAUAUCUCGUGUCAAACAAUCAACGAUCUGAUGCGAAAGUUGAUCAACCAUCCAAUAUGCGAUCUACUCCGUAACUUUUAGUUCUAGAUUUUAAUAAAAAAGUCACUGAAAAAAGACAUUUGUCUCGUGUUUAAAACAUGUUUGACUCAAUAUUAAUUUCAUACUUAUAAGGUUAUGAGAUUAAUUAAUUCUACUUUUCUAUACCAAGGUUGAUUAAUCAUAUUUUCCUAACGACCUAUUGUAUAAAUAGUAGAACGAUACAUAUAUUCAGUUAGACAAUUGGAUCAUUAAAAAUGUUCCCACAAUUGCGCGGUACACCAUGCUAGUUUAGAGACAAAAGGAGUAGUUCAUAUAAAAACUAAACGGGAUUUGUAAUGAGCGAACGUUUGCUCUUUAGUCUCUCAGAAUGAACGGUCUACUGGCCAUCUGAUCGGGAAGACUGUACUCGAGAUUGCGCCACGUGUCUUGGAGUGUAACAACUUUAGUUAUGUGGAGUGACAACUUUAGUUUUGCGAGGAUGACAAUUUUAGUCUGUGAAAAUAACAACUUUAGUUCUGUGCGGUGGCAACUUUACCCCGUCGCGCUGGAAGACUAGAGAGCAAACGUUUAGUUAAGUGAGGUGGCAACUUUUGUUCUGCGGAGAUGUCAACUUUAAUCUGUACCAACAUUAGUUCCUUAUGAACGACAACUUUACCCUCAGGCCGAAAAGACAGGGAGCGAUCAUUCCAAAACUAAAUACCGGAACAGACCUCUCGCUCAAACACCUCAAAUUGGCUAUAACACAAAGUUUAUGACUGAUCCCCUGUGCUUUGACAUGGAGUGGUUCUCGUCGAGACCCGUGACCGUGAGGUAUUGGAGCACCUCAUGUCACACUCUGCUUUUUCCAGAGUUUGAAAAACAAAGAAGAGAGGUUAUCUUGGAGUUGCAAAGUUUUCUUUUUGCGAAAACGUACAAAGUCUUGCACGAGACAAACAGAGAACGACAGUGCCAUGUACUCGCUCGUUGUUUGACCCUAACCUUCCUUGUCUCCCGGUCUGUGUUGGACUGACGUGUGUGCGUGUUCCUGACAGACAGACGGAUGAAAGGCGCUAAACAUACGUAAUUAGUCAUCAGCAUGCCCAGGUUGGAUAGACUACUCAUAGUGGGAGGAACAUUGGUAGUAACAUAAGUCCCAACAAAUCAAUUUGAUGAUGUGACAUGCUAUUAAAUGAAGAAAGAGAGACUUGUGGUAGAUAUGUUACCAUCACAUCACACAUUUUAAGAUAGAAUAAGUCUAUAAGAUAAUAAAUAGGAUUUUUCAUGUUACCACAAAUAACAUAUGCAUGUUACUAGUUCAUGUUACUUUCCAUUAUGACUAACCUAAUUACUUGGACUCUUGAUUUUGGGUUGUUCUUAUUGGCGAGUUCCUUGUAUGCACAUUCGGCCCAUGCUAAAGCUGUCCUACGAGCUGGACCAUUAGCAGGCCUGAUUUAAUCGCAGCACUUAAAGGCCGAAAUUUGAAGACUGUGACCAUUAGUUUGCUCAUGGUGUUCUUACUCUAGAGCCUGGCCGGUAUUUUUGGCCUGUAACCCUCCAUGAUGAAUCAAUAAAGCAGUACUUACGCUCAAAAUAAAAUAAAGCAGUACUUUCCCCUGAAAAAAUAAGUAAUCAAAGUGGGUUCCUUAAAACGAAAAAUGAGGUUUGAACCCUGACCUUGUGCCUAUGGAGUCUAGACUUUUUGCCAAUAAAUGAACCAGGGCCAACGGAACAAGUGUAGACAGGGCAAAAAUACGCAUUGCGAUCCACACUUAGCUAGACAGAAGUACGUACACACAGACACAGUGCCAUAGUUUGAUGGAGUAUAUCUUAACUCCUAUAAAAGAACCAUUUGGUGGUGAUGGUACGUCGUCUAUUUUCUGUCUCUUACAUGUGGGACCUACCCGGUCUGUUCCGCUUCCAUCGGGAUAUCUACCUCUUCCCCCAUCUGCCAUGCCUUCCACUCCCUGCUCUGUCGCCGGCCUCCCCUCACCGCGCCUCCCUCCGCCCUAGCCUCCCCUCACCACGCCCCCUCCUCUCAUUUGUAGAAGGCGACGCGGCUGGCCCGCCAAAGAGCAGAUCGUCCAGGCGCUGGCCAAGAAGGAAUAGCAAGCGGGGAGGACAGAAAGGAGGUCGCCGGCGCCUGUGAGUUGCCGUGCGGUGGGUGCGAACGGAGCAGGAUCGGGCUCCCUGCCCCUCGCCCGGCAGAAGACACGCAGCCACGGAGCUGGCUCACCUCCACCACCGGCGCAAGUGAGUUCGCCGCCGCCUCCACCUCAUCCGCUGGUCAAAGUUCUGUUCCUUGCCCCGCAAAAAAAAGUUCUGUUCCUUGGUUUGGCUGCCCUAAUAUUUCUAGCAUGCCAAUCUAUGCCGCUGUUCAGGUAUCUUUUGUGAUAACAGUACCAAUUCUACUUGUCUCACCUGAAUUGCUAAUAGCCCAACACCAAUACAAAGGUGAGAUCGAAACUCCCAGGAGCACGUCCACACGAUUUAAGGAGUGCAGAGGGUGUGUCCCAAUAAUUGGUUGCCGGUGUGACCAAAUGUGCAAAAAGAAUAUCUUAGCCUGACGGAGUCCAUAUAUCGAUCUCAAGGUUGCAAGCAGGAGGCCUUUAUCCAAACAUUCUCAAGUUCUGCCAUGUCCUUCUUAGUACUGUGUGUUUUGGCCUGAAGAACAAUUUGCUGCAGCUUAUCAUUCUCGACCAACAAUGCUCUCUUUUCUGCCUUGGGUCACUCAACAGCAUCACGCAAAUACCAAUUGAAUCAUUCAAAAUUUGCGUGUUUGUAUUGUUGUACCAGCAAUAAAACCAUAAUCCACACCAGGAAAGUUAAUAAAGUUGGAACUAAAAUCUGACCAAGACAGAACAAAAAAGACAACCAGGAACUUAUCCUUGUUAAUUUAUUGGAAGUUCUGCACAAAUGAAAAAAGGUUCCAAGCAGGAGGCAACCGUUGCUGGUGACAGAACAAGGAGAAAAGGAGCAUGUAAAGGAAAUUACCAGCCAGUAUCGUGUUGUUAGUUCGUCAGUUAGCAAGCUUUCCAGUUGCAACGGGGUCAAAUGAUUUGUAUGGCUCGUGUAAAAAAGAGAGAAUGUUUAAUCUCCGACUUAAUAGAAAGAACUGCCGUGGUGUUCUAAUUCAAGUAAGAAUGAGCAAAUAAUAGCUAUAUGAAGUGAGAGCAUCACUUUCAAUACUCACAGUUAAUAGAACAUACAUGAUUCAACAGCAUCACCUUUUAGGCACUUGCAUGUAUAUAUAUUAGUGCUGCUAUAGAAAAGUGCAGUACUCGCACAUAAUAAAAAGAAAAAAAAAUGAUGUUGUUUGCAAUACUGGUAAUUCCAGCAAAAUUCAGUUUUUUUUUUACGAACGAUUCAGUUUACUGAUUUUGGAUAAAGGCUUUUUAGCCCUUAGAAAUGACACGACAAAAAUCUUUGCUCGUGAACGCUCCAAAAAAAGGGAAAAAACUUACUGAUAUUUAUCCAUAUAUGCACAAUCAACUUUGCUCUGUCAUUAGCAUUUUUUUUAACCUACGAGUGAUGUUUUUUACCGUGCGUUAUAACACUUGCAUAUUUGUUUUUUCAGUUUAUAACAUGGUUCAUGUCUUAUUUGGGACAACUUCUUUUUCUUGCAGAAGCACUGCCUGCAUAUUGGCAUUUCUAUUUCUCCUUGGUGACUUGUGAAGGCAGGUAAAGGUAAAGUCAAGGUUAGGGACAAGGAGUUAUCACAGCAACUAGGCUUUACAAACUAGACAUACAGUUGGUUACAUUGUAUCUUUUACUUGGUUACAUUUGCUAUUUGGUACACCGUAUCAGCAAUGAUGUCCGCCUCCUAUUUGUAAUUUCUUCAUAUAUAUACAUUUUUAAUCGUGCAAUUUAUUGUAUGUCAUAUUUUGUAGGCCUGUAUGAGCAAUGAUCUCCACCUCCUAUUUUUGCGUUCACUUAAAGUUUCUUCGAGCAUGAUUCACUGAAUUUGAGUAUGUAGGUCUGCUAGGGGGCUAAGAAGAUGAGUGGAGUUUAUUUCUGGCAUUGAAGUGCCAGAGGGAAGAAGGAUUAACAGAUAUACUUGCAUAGGUAUUAGCAUAUGAGAAUUAUACUUGCAUAGGUACUAAGUAUUCGUUAAUCUGCUGCUCUCAAGAAGGUAUCGUUUUCUCCUUUCCUCGUCUCUGUAACACUGACAUAUUCAUUUCUAAUUUGUAGACGUAUCAUGAUUACUUCUCAUACUGAUUAAUGACAGUAAUGCUUUACAUGACAUUACAAAUGCAAAUCAGUUAGGUAUGCAAGACAACUUUUUCUCUUGUCUCCUCAAGCUGUUUCCUGUGUCAUCUGAUUGAAAGAGACCCAGUAAGGAAUUCAUACUGAAAUCCUUUAAGUGCUUCAUUUGAAAUCCUCCAGAGUGCUCUUUUCUGCAUUAACCGUUUGCUAGGGGAAUUUGUUAAACAAAGUGUAGUCUUAGUGUUGCAAUCCCAAAACACACCAGCAGAAACCAGAAAGAAACAUGGCAUUCUUAUUUAAGUAUCUUGUUUUUCUUCUGCAAAUCAAGUUGGUACCAAAAAAAAAUGUCUUUUAUAGAAUGCAUAUAGCUCUGUUUCCUGUAUCAAAAAAGAAAAGAAAAGAAUGACUACAGCUGUGAUCUGAUUAUGGGAUGGAAUGCUUCGAUAUUUUCUGAUUAUGUAGGCAUCAUUAAUCCUUUAACUCUGGAUGUGGUUGAAUUCUAUAAUACGUGUUCUCUCCAUUGCUACUUGUAUGUUAUUAUAGAUUGUCAUAAUGUUUGCGGCUAAAUUCAUUCAAUUUGGGAGCAGCUUUGUUGGAUGACUUCUUCACUUCUUCACCAUGUAUCUAAAAUAGAGAGUCGCAGUGUUGAAUGGGAUGUGCAUCUGGGGUUGGUGGUUCUGAAGCAUUUGUUGUGUUGGCAAACUAAUAUGAGAUUGUGUUGGGAGUCUAUUCAUUUUUAACCUUUUCUAUCUCAUGUGAACUAUUAGGCAAAUCAAUACGAAUUUUGAGAAGUUUGACUGCUGAAAGAUUUACUCACCAUAUUCACUUAAGUGUUCACCUGGAGUCUUUCUACACCCAAAAUUGAAGCUAGCAGUUUUCUUUAAGAAAUUCUUUUUGCGCAAAAGUUUUCUUUAAGCAAUUAUAAGGGCUUUAUGCUUUGUGUUGACAACAACUUGAUGAUUACCAGAAAUAUCUCAACAUGUUAAGUCAUUUGAACUGAUUUUAUUACAAGCACCACACUCUAAAAUCUCGUCCUUUCAAUGUAUGUGCUGAUCGAACAUUUUAUGCUUUAUAAUUAGUUAAAAAAAAUAUUAUUAUCAGUUAUGAAGAUUGAGAACAUCAACAUGAUACUACUAAAUCUAACACGAAAUAUAUUUUUAUAAUGCUUAUUGUUUGACUUAAUCAAUGUAUUUUUAAAUAAAUUGGUGGCCAGAAAUCACAUUUGAGACCAUGUCAAUAAUCAAAGGAACAUAUUUUAUAGCAGAGAGAGUGUUAUGACUUAUGAUUCGGUAACACAAAAGGAAAAAUUAAUUAGGUUUUUCAAACAAUAUCCGACUACGUAUGCGUGCUUUCGUUGCACCGUCACUUUGCUGGUCUGUGUAUAUAUACUUUCUGCAUCGACAUACUGCCAUACUGGUACUGUAGCUAGUCCCGUUGUAGCCAAACCAAUGGUACCGAAGUAGCAGAUGGACGCAAGUUGACUUGGAGUCGAGAGGAGCCCACCCUGCCACUGCAGCAGGCAGCAGCCCGUAGUCCCGAUCCCCACGGCACACCCCGCUAAACACUGCUCGUGCCGUGCAGCGGGCCAUGGCACGGGAGAACGGCCACUGGUACUACUGCUGGCUAGCGUGCGCGGGUGUACUAGACAUGGGGCACCUUUUGGUCAUGCUUGCUCGCACACGGCCACGGGCCGCGCAGCAUGUCCCUACCGGAAGAAACAAACAAACAAUUAGUGGUGCCUUUAGUUUAUUUACGGUCCUUUCUUGCGUGUUUGUGUGGCUUUUGCAUCUGCCUUCCUCUGCUGGGCGGUGUCUGUGGCCGCUGGGGCAGGGGAGACACGGGCGCUAGGAAAAAGGAGCGGGAGAAAGAAGCUCAUCAUGUGAACCCCCUUCCAUGGGCCAUGGCUGCUCUGCACAACGCACGGGCUCCUGUCCUGCUCCUCCUGCUGUUCCCAUGCAUCUCUCUUCCUGACACCAGUAAAAAACUGUGCGUUUAUAGUACUUGCUGGCAGUAAAACAAAUCAAGUGCGGAGAGUGCAUGCAUGCUCUCGGUGUGGACCGCUUUUUAUAUUUGUUCAGACGAAGUUCUGUGUAUGUAUGGUACUAGAGCGAAUAAGACAGGAAAAUUGAAUGAAUUAUUGGAGUUUGGUACGUGUGCAGAAUCUUCUCGCGCAACCGUAACUAUAGAUGAUACUGAUGUUUUGCUAUGCAGGAAAGCACUCUUGGCGAGGAGAAUAUAUACAUGCACGACGAUGGAGCCGCUGGGAAAAAAGCGUGGUAGUGAAGCGUGUCGUGUUUUGCUCCGACAAGAGGUACUAGUGCCGCUACAAAGUGCAGCAGUACUUGCUUAUCCUGCAACUAGCUAGCUAUAGCGAGUGGAGUAGCGCAUUUGAAACAAAAGCAGGUUCAUCUUGACGCGCCACGGACGGACUGGGUGAUGCGCGCAGGCAAGGGGACCCCGUCCGGUUGCUUCUCGACUGGUUUUGCACGACGCCAGGAAAUCUUCCUUUGAUCGUGGCAACAAUGAGGAGGCAGACAAAGCCAGAGCCGCAGAGGAGAGAUAGAUGAGGUAGAGCAACCACUGGUCUACUGGAGGUCGAAGUGUGAUGAUGCAUGCGAUGCGCAUGGACGGAGAGCAGAGGAGAGUGGCAGCGAUCGUGCUAGUAGGUUCGUUCAGGCGCGCGGCAUGCAUGCAUCCACCGGCGGCAGCCAGCCAACCCACUACGGCUGCUCCGCGCGCAUGUGGCCGGCCUCUGGCUUUGCUUUACUACAGUUGCCUGCCUGCCUGCGCGGUUCGCCGCAAUUGUUGUGGGGGUGGGAACUGAACUGGCAGCGGCAGCCCUCGGGAAUCCAAGAGGCAAUGCGAUGUGUUGACAAUAUUUGUUCUCUUGUCCAUAGGUCAGCGAUAAUUGCCAUCCGCAUUUAACCCACUGCAUGCAUGCACUCAUUUUUGUAAGUACCGGUUUAAUAAUACAAUGGCAAUCGGAAGCGGUCUGGCGUGUCUUUAAGCUGGAAACAAGAGUGACGUCAAACUGAUUAGUAUGAGUAGUUCUGGAUUUCAAGAUACGUAAAACCUGAAUCACUGUCAAGGAGGAGGUGUUUAGAAAUCGUUAAAUUUGACCCCCAUCAUCGUGGUAGGGAAGAGAGCGACGUCUCCGCGGCCUUGUCGGAGGGCGAGGCUCCCCCGGCCGUUUCCAUGUCCACCGCGCUGCGCCCCAACGUCACAACCGCUUGCGCCUUCAGAUUCCUCGAGUCCGCGGACGCUUGCCAAAAGCUAAAACAAAGACACACGAAACCCAACCCAACCUGAGUCAGCCUCAAGUACGGGAAUGAAAUGCCUCACGAUGCAUUCCGGCGAUUCAGUAGCGAGUAGCGACUCAAGACUUUUUUUCUAAUUAUUACUACCCUUUUUUUACACACAAAAAUUGUUGGUUACUGGAAAAUGCACUCGGAAUACCAGAAUAGAACAACGUUAUCAUGGGGCAUAGAAGGUGUCGGACGUGCCAAUGAUCAUAUGUGCUUUUAGCCCGCAAAAGAACAAUACUACUGCCAUGAUACUACGUCUUUUGGCUAUAGUGCUAACGGACCAAACGUGCAACUCCUAGUGAGUAGUCCUAAUAAAAAGGGAACGUUCCAUAUGUAACAUCGCGUUUUCGCUCUCUCCAAGUUGUUUGCUGGGGUACUCCAAAGCAAAUUACAAGACAAUUCCCUCUUUGGGGGAAAGCUGUAUCCCCACCUUCGCUGUCGGACUCUCUUGUGACACCAAGGCUAGGACCGUGUUUCCAUCCAUGCGUGUGAUUGGUCUAAGUCGAGUUACUACUACUAACGAGCAGUGCAAUCCGGUGGCUGCAUUUGGCAGCAACCAGGAGACUAGCAUAAUUAAUCAGCCACCUCCAGCUUUGCUUUGACUUGUUGCUCUGGAACCGCGGUCGAACUGUACUCGACGCAACGCACAGGCCAGGGCGCAGGGUGGCGACCAAAAUACAAACGCCAGGAGACAAGAGGACAAGCAGACAAGGACGCACGCAAAAAAGAAAGGAAACCCAAUAACAAAGAGCAAGGAAAAUAACCCGUGAAAAAUCCUCCCGGUCGGCCACUUUUAUUACUAGCUGUGUGUGUGAGUGUUUAACAAGUCGUCUCCCCCCACCCACUCGCCUCCGAUUCCAGACAAAACCUCACCUCCACUCCCCCCCGGCUCUUCCCCACCGGCUCCAAUGUCGCCGCCCCUCGAGCCGCACGACUACAUCGGCCUCUCCGCCGCCGCCGCCUCGCCGUCCCCAACCUCUUCCUCCUCGUGCUCGUCCUCGGCCAACCCCGGCGCCGAGGUUGGCCCCCGCCUCACCCUCCGCCUCGGCCUCCCGGGCUCAGAGUCCCCCGACCGCGACAGCUCCGCGGACGUCGCCGCGGCGCUCACCCUCGGCCUCGUCUCCACCCACAAGGCCGCCUCCAAGCGCGCCUUCCCCGAGGCCUCCCCACGCCGAGGAGGCUCUGCCGCCGCUGCAGCUGGCGCGAGGGGCGAGGAGAAGGCGCCCGCCGCUGCUCCCCCUGCCGCCAAGUAAGAUUCGAUCCGAUCCGCUAAGGCGGAUGCUUUGCCCCUGAAAUUGGAUGUGGUGUUGGCCCGCCAAGUACUGAUCGACGGCGUGGUAUUGUGGAGCGCAGGGCGCAGGUUGUGGGAUGGCCGCCCGUGCGGAACUACCGCAAGAACACGCUGGCGGCGAGCGUCUCCAAGAGCAAGGGGGGAGAGGAGGGUGCAGCAGCCCAGGGGGGACCUCAGUAUGUGAAGGUGAGCAUGGAUGGUGCCCCUUACCUCAGGAAAGUGGACCUCAAGAUAUAUUCUAGCUACGAGGACCUCUCCACGGCACUCCAGAAGAUGUUCAGCUGCUUCAUCACUGGUUAGUACGUCACUGCCGCUUUCAUUGUUAGGAAGCUCGUUGAAUGGAUCCAAUGCUGCGAAAGCAGAGUGUUGAAGAUUCACCUCCUAAAAAUCUGCAACUUGGUACUGAUGAUUGCAAGUCAUUUAGUAUCACGCAUCCAAACUCAUAGUUAACCACCCAAAACUUGGAAUAAAAACUACUUCCUCCGAUCCUAAAUUCUUGGGGGAGUAAAAAAUUUCCCUUCCUGUCCUGAUGAUUAUUCACAGGAAAGUACUCCCUCCGAUCCUAGAUUGCUUUAGUAUUUGGGGAAUAGCAUUUAUAUAGUAAAAGCAUAUGUUGCAAUCAUCAUAGUUAGCCAUCCAAGAUUUGCAGCCAAAAAAACAUGCAAUUAAUCUUAUAUCACUGCAUAAUCUAGGCUUCGUCUUUACUGGAUCGUUGCUCAAUGUUUUGUCGAUCUCUGUCGAUUAACUGAUUAGCUGUCCUGGAGACUGGAACUACUACAAUUUCAACAAACGCACAUAGUUCAAGUUCUUAAGGAUGAAAUAGUACACAAGAAUAGUAUCAUACUCCUUCCGUUUCAAAAGCGAUGCCAUAUUUAAGGUUGGGGCACAAGACUUGGAGCAUGAGUUAGAUGUCAAUGUCGCCCUUCAAUCUUUUUCACGUCCAUCACUUUUUCCUCACCAAAAAUAUUGGUUGGCACCAUGGAGCGACACUCAUGCCCACCGUCGGAUGUUCUCAUUGGGCUGUGGAGCAAUCGUUCCAUGGUGCUGAACCACACAUCUAUAUCCUCAUCAAGGCAGUUAGCUCUUUUUCCAAAAGCAAUAAAUCCAAGUAAAGGCAGGAGUAUUUAGCUUGUUUUUUAUGAUAUUGAUGAAGGACGAAACAAGAAAAAAAUGACUAAAACUGCAUUGAAAUGUAGAUUGUAAAGAACAUGUAUUUUGACAAAAGUUGAAGAGGCUGAAAGGACAUCUAUUUGAAAUGGAGGGGGUAUGAUGUUUUAGCAGUUUAUUUUCAUAUUCCUUAGAAAGACUUGAAUCCUCCCUCCUUACCUCCCUCUCAUGAAAUGUCUACUAAGACUCUGAUUUUAAAGGUCAAAGUGCUAUGCGGAAACCAUCUAGCAAGGACAGGCUUACCAAUGGUUCAAAGGCUGAUUCCCUCCAAGAUCAAGAGUAUGUCCUUACAUACGAAGACAAGGAUGCGGACUGGAUGCUUGUUGGUGAUCUUCCAUGGGAGUAAGUUUCUAUAUCUUGUGCAUUCUUCCCUUGUCAAUACUAUUCCUGGUGUUUUUGGAGAAAACUAGGAUUGAUGUUCUUUUGCCUUGCCCCCUUUUGCCAUGUUAUAUCACCAUAUUUGGGUGCUCUAAAUACAAAAAUCGUGGAACUUUAAUCUUCUAGUGCAGAUGGAGUUGCUUAAGUUCAUUUGUUGUUAUGCUGUUCUGGGGCUCAUUAUGAAAAAUAUGUGGUACAGUUCGAUUUACUGUUGAGCAGAUAUUAGGAUAUCCACUUUUUUUCAUCAUUUGAACGUGUCGCCUCAAUCUCAUAUGACGCUAAUAGUCAGAUAAAAACUUAACAAUAUUUCUUUAUUGGUUUUGCACUAGCAUCACUGCAAUGAAUUUUUUGAUGGAACUUUGAGUAAAGCUUGCAAUCUAGCAUAAUACUCAUGUGUUGCUACUUGCUACUGGCUUAAAAACACUUGUUUAAUGAGAAUGUUGUACUAUUAUCUUGGAUCAUAUACUCCAUAUUCGUUCAUAUCUCAAUGACUUGUGCUAAAUCAACAAGUGAUGCAAAAAAAAAGACAUGGCCCGAAGGUCACGUACCGCCGUGACCAACUGAGUCUUUUAUAGGAGUAAAGACAAGGGUGUGACUGAAUCUAUUAGUUACUUAAAGAGUAACUUUGAACAAGGAUAAGCUUGUCACUUCCUUUACCCUGAAAAUGCAAUGAAUUUGUUGGGCUGGAGUUGGGACUUGCGAGCACAGUUGAGCUAUAUCUAAGAUGCGCAAUUUGUUAUUGCUUCUGUCUCUGUAUUGUCGAUGACAAGGCCCAAGCUUUGCAAAAUUAACUACCGACUUUAUGCAGGCAUGUGCAACCAUUUGAGGCAAUGUCAAUCGAUGAUCUCUAGCCUGAAUGCACAAGAUAGCCAGCUUAGAUUUGUUAAUUCAUCACUACUAACAGAUAUAGUUAAUUGCUUUAAGCCUUUAAGAUUCAUGAAUUUUUGGUUCUUAUCUUGUAAGAGGUAGUAUGAAGGUCCACUUCUAUGUACCAUCCCCUUCAUGUUUUUUUAAUAAAAAAAACAUGCAUAUGCUGUUGGUGUUAAAUUCGCUAUUGAAGUUUCCUGGCAUCUCGUCUAAUGUAUAAUCUACAAAUAGAUUGCCAUGUAAUAUUGCUGUUUCUUUCAUACAUGUAUAGGUUAUCACUCAAUAGUCAAAUACUUAAAAUUUGAUAAUUCCUGACCUUAGUUCUCCCUUUGCAGUUUGUUUACCACUAUCUGCCGGAAACUGAAAAUCAUGAGAGGAUCUGAUGCAGCUGGAAUAGGUAUUUGCAAAUUUUACCAGUAGAUAUAUUGAAAGUACCAGUCUUUGUUUUGAAUGCUUCACCUGAACAACUUUAGUUUGCAAGAUCAUUACUACAGUAUAAAAUUAUGCAACGACUAUGUUUCCCAGUGUUGCAUAUGAUUUAUGGUCACUAGUGUUGAUCCUGUCCUUAUGUACAUGAGAACAAAAUGUACAGCAUUAGAUGAUAUGAAUGGAGUCUAAAUCCUGCCCACCGCCAAACUAUAGGUUGCAUGCCACUUUCAUUUACAAAUACUCAAAUAAUUUCUCUCAGUUGACGCAAGUCCAAACCGUGGCUGAUAUGAUGAUAAAAUUCGGACAAGCAGAAACCAAUAGCUGGGAUCUGUUGAAACCUGAACUUUUAACUUGGAAUCUGCUUUCUUUGUCAGCAACUAAAACAGUUACUGUUAAAUGGUUAAAUCUUAUGCCUGUUUCCAACUUCUGAGCAUUAGGUUUUUGUAGAUUAUUUCACUCAGUUGUAGGAUUGAUAUUCUACACAAAUCUAAUGCUCAGAGGUUGGCACUCCCAACUUGUGGCUACUGAAACAUAUCCCAACUACUUACUUGCAGCUCCAAGAUCCCUAGAGCAGACAGGUCAGAACAAAUAAGAUUGAUCUUUAUCUGGAGCAAAGAAAGACAACCGAGCUUAAGCUGUGAGAUGAUGUUGCAGAAAAAAAUGAUUCAUGCCAAGUGUCUCAAAUAUCCGAAAUGUUAGUGUAGUUUCAUGUGUUUCUGUGACCUGUGCGUUGCAUGUCUGUAAUGUGAUCUGUUAAGAUAUUGCAAUUGUGGGUUGCCCUAUUUCCCCUAGUAAUGUCAGUAAGCUCUGUGCUUUCUGUACUCAUAUAUAUUUCCAGUGUUGUACUAAGUGUUCUACUCAAUUGAAAUUAUCCAAAUGCUGCAUGUUCUGUUCAGUUGGAACUUUUUAUUGACAAUAUUCUGCUCUGAUCAAUCAGCUUGAAACACGUAAAUUGUGUUUUCAACACAUUAGAAAAUAGCUACACUAUAGUACAAUUUAUUGUGCACCAAGAAGUACACAAUCGGGCAAUCCAAAUAUUUACCAUUCUGUAGCUAAUCAAUGCGCAUAAGGAGAACGAACAGUAAAUUGCUCUGAAGGUGAUGUAUACAAGCAGUCAUGGAUCUUACAAUCGACGGUGUUUCUUCAUUAACCAUUUCCCUUGCCUGGAAAGCAUCCUGGUAAAUUUGAGAGCUCGAACUAACGAGCUGGACUAGACGAAGUGGUAGAACGUUCUACCACUUCCUGAAGAUUCACCCCUUUCGUGUCCACGGGGCGCAGCAGACUCGUCGGUCAGCGAGUCGUUCUCGAGAAGACCCGUCUCCGAUCCUCCUCGGGUCUCGUCUUCCUCACAGGCCGUCCCACUGUGCGACUCGGCUGUCUCGAUGCGGCACCGAGUGCACAGUUGCGGGGGACAUGCCGCCGCGCCAUAGCUCUUGUCGUCCGUCUUCUUGCGUCCAGAAGCCGCCGGCGCCGUGGAUUUCUUGGUACCGCGCGCGGGACUUUCUGCGCCGGAGUUCUCUUCGCUGGCCUUCCUCUUGCGCCCAGAGGACUCAGUUGCCGCGGUGGAGUCCGCAUCUGUUGCGGGCCCGGCGCGCGGACUCCGGUAAACCUUGUACAGCACGAGCUCGUCCGAUGAGCCCUUGUGUUCGCCAUAGUUGAGGCCGAGCUCAACCAUGAUCCAUCCCGUACGGAGACUCUUGCCACACUCCUCGUCCUUCUUCAUGAAAGAGAAGAACUGACGACAACCUAUCUGGCGGUCGCCGUCGACAACGUCCCUCACGCCGGACUCCGAGUGCCAGCACCCCUGGCCGGAGCCCACCGUGCGCGGCCUCCGCUGGCCGCGGAUUCUCUUGGCCGGCAGGGUGGUGAAGAAAUACCAAGCCUUCUCGCCGUCGCUUGCCGUCGCCGGGGAGUACUGGCCGCUGAGGACGGCGGGUUCGGCUGCGUAGACGUCGACGUCGUGGGUGAACUUGCAAGGAUGCUCGCCGGACGCGAGCCGCGGGAUGAGGUAGGACUUGAUGAGAUCUUGGUCGGACGGAUGCUUUGCGAAGUCCGGGCGCGUUGGGGGCGCGGAGGAGCCUGAGGGAACCGCCGCGACCCUUGGAGCGGCUGACGUGCGGCGAAUGGGCGAAGAAGGAAGAAACGGAACCUGAGGAGGUCGGCAAGCCUCGGCGCGGGGAGUCAGCGCUGCGUCACCGGUGAUGACGCGUUGAAUCUGGGUCCGAAGUGGAGCCGCAGACAGAGACGUAUCAAUUACGACAUGGCUGGACGAAUCCUGGUCGGAGUCGGACUCCGUCGCUGCCGAGUCAGUGGAGCUGGAGGCUCGAGCGGGCUGGGCCGAAUAGACUGAGGCCUUUGCAGGCCCAGCUCCUGACGCGUUCUCUUCAGACGAGGCAGAGCAUUCCCCGGCUUUUCCCCUUCCAAUCUUGGGCACAACCCUCCUUGCCGCCGCCGUAGAUCCGGUCGGGGGCGCCUCGCGCGGGGUCCGGUAGACCUUGCACAGGACAAGCUCCUCCUCCGAGGAGCCGGAGGGCGUGAGGCCUAUCUCGGCCAUGAGCCAGCCGGACCGGACCAGCCGGCCGUCCACCUUGGUGGUGAAGGAGAAGGCCUGCCGGUAGCCGAUCUGGCGGAUGUGGACGAUGCCGGAGAAGAGGGGCUUGGCGGCGCGCUCCGAGUGCCAGCACCCGUCGUCCCCGGAUCCCACCGUGCGCGACUUCCGCUGGCCGCGGCGGCUCUUGGCACGGAGGGGGGUAAAAAAGUACCACGCCUCUUGGCCGUCGCUGGCCAGCGCAGGGGAGAAGGUGCGGGCGAGGUCUUCGGGGUUGGCGGCGUAGACAUCCGCGUCGUGGAUGAACUUCCAAGGGCGGUCGCCGGUGGUGACCCAGGGCUUGAGGUAGUUGUCGAUAAGUUCUAGGUCGGUGGGGUGGGAGGAGAAGUCCGGGCGCGGCGCGCCGCGUCGGAUGGGAGCCAUGGCGAUUUGGGGGGAGCGAGGGAUAAAUUGCCGUGUGGAGGAGGAAUGGGUGGGGAUUGUUUUAGCCGGAGGAACGAGGUAAAGCAUAUAUAGCACCAGCAAUGACGCGUUUAAGCCUGAGUCCGAGUUCGCAUCGGGGUCGGAGACGUACUAAUUACGCAACCGCAGGCUGGAUUACAAUUAAUUCCUGAUGAAUCCGAGUUCAUGAUGGAGACGUACCAAGUACGCCAACGCAGGACUUCGACUUUGAGUCGGUUUGGCUGGGAUGGGCUGGGCUGGGCCGAAUAUAACUCAAAGCCAGGUGCGCAAUCAUGUGUUGCUAUCCUUUCCUGGUCACUUUUUUUCCUUUUUUUUUGCGGAUCUUUCCUUGUCACUUUCAAGCCCAAAUAAGAUUGAGAAAGAAAAAAAAUGAACGAACGUAUGCACAUCGGGUCAUCGGCGUUAAGAAAGCAGACGCGCUCCUCUCAAAAAAGAAAGAAAGGAGACGCUAAUUGAGAGUAUUUGCAACGAAUAUGUUCGUUGCAAAAAAAAUGUAAUAUUUGCUGCUUUUGGUCUUUCUGACAUUCUGCAAAUGAUAACAAAAAUGACGAGCAGAUCCAAAUGUCAUAAGAACAAUGAAAUCUAGGUACAAUUUUCCACAGAUUACGAAAUUAAAAAUCAAGAAAAAAAUCAGGAAGGCAAAACAAGAUUUCAAUGGAAAGCAAUUAAAUCUCAAUAAGACUUGGAAAUCAGUUAUGAUGCCAACCUGUCCUUGCCGCUAGCGGUGCGCAACAGGAGAGAAACAGACGGGGCGGCAAAAAAAGACGCCGCGAUGACGUGUUGACAGGCUAUGAUAGCGUAAUGUCACGCGCUCGCUAGUAGAAAGCAGGCCCGAGAUCACCCAAACAAAAUAAGAAAUGGAAAGCAAUUAAAUCUCAAUAUAGAUUUCUUUGAUUAGGAUGUCAGCCUGUCGUUGUCGCUGGUGGUGCGGAACAAAAGGAAUGUGACAACAACAGAUGAGCACCAUGAUGACGUUGACAGGUUAUGAUAGCGUGAUCAUCGUGCACAAAAAAUCAUAUGAAACAUUAAAAAUAUGCAAUUAAGUUCUAAAGGAUUAGAUACGUCUUUGACAUAUCAAGGCGAAUGGGGUGUAACCGAGACAAUCUGGAUAGGAAAACUUCCAGCGCAAAUCAGCAGGUCAAGGAUGGGAAAUCUGGUUUGGUAAAACAUGAAGCUACCAAAGCAACUAAGCAAGGACAAUGCUUCCACGAGCAAUGACAAGGCUUCCUCGAGCAUUGACAGAGUAUGCAAGAAAAUUUCCCGAAGACAUUCCAGUGAGUUAAUGGAGCAACUACAUAUGCCCAAAAACAUCACGAAAAACUCGAGUUCACUUACUCCUAUGCUCCAUCGACGUCUAUGUUUUCCGCAUGACCAACCAUUGAUGUGGCUAUAGUAGUUUGUAAUUCUAGACGUUUCGGUUGUUGCCUCCGGUGUACCAAUCUGACAUUGUAUUUGACCGGAUUUUUCUUUGUGGGGAAACAUGUCUUUUCAUUCAUGUGGGACUAGUAACACACCCUGUGUUUCUAUGGAACAAUAAAACUUGUUUAGCCACAAUUUAUAGAAUUUAUAAAGGGUCUGUCUAGAUCUCAAACGACUGAGGAAAAUGUACUUCUCAGUCGAUUCAUCAUCCGCGAGAUCGAUCGAUAUGUAGCACUGCCUAGUUCGUUUUUGUCCCGCUAUGUUAUGGUUGACGGACCCAAAUUAUAACCCACCUGAUACUACUAAAGCAAUACAAACAAGCCCACAAAAAUAAAAAUUAACACAACCCCAAUAGUUCAGUCCACACUUUGUGUUUCAUUAGAAAAAUACUCCCUCCGUCCAACAAAAGAUGUCUCAACUUUGACCAAAUUUGAGUGCAUCUAUACACUAACUCAUGUCUCAUUUUUUGUUUGACGGAGGAAGUAGUUGCAACCUCAUGGUACUAAGAAAAUAUAGCUGCAACCCCAUGCAAAAGGGAAAAUUAUAGUUGCAAUUUGUUGUGCAACUGAAAAAAAUUACAAGCUGAAAUGAAAAGGUUACAGUUGCAACAUGAUAAAACAGAGAAAAUUGCAGGUGCAACUAAGAAAAUUACAAUUGUAACCCCUUGCAAUGGGAAAUAUUACGGUGUGGCUUCAAAAAUUGCAUUUGCAACAUCUAUGCAACUAAAAAAAUUUACAAUUUCAACCAUGAUGAAAUUGAAAAAAUUAUAACCAGAACCAUUGUGCAGCUGGAAAAAUUACAAUUGCAACCCACAUGCAAACAAUAAAAUUGCAAUCGACACACAAAGAAAAAACCAACAAAAGCUUAGUGCCACUUGAGUUAUCUUUGGGAUUUUUAAAAAUCUCAAGACAAGCAAGCAUGUUGAAUAUUAAUAUUGAAAACAAUAGAGUAAGAAAAAAAAAGUGCAAUAGUUUGCCGAUUGUAUCAACCUGUAACAGAACUCCCUCAAUGCCUCGACAAAGAACCCCACGAAGCUUUUGGUCUCCCCACCAAUCCCACCCUAAUAAAGAAAACAAGACCCACAAAAGAGACCAAAAAGCUCAAGCCGCAGAUAUACAAAAGCUUGCGCCAGCCCUCAAAGCAAACUCAGGACACGAGUCCCAAAAAAGGUCAAAGCAACCAAUGUGGGACACGAUCGAUCUCCUCGCGACCUGAAGUUCAAUGACCCACGCAUCAACUAAGAAAAAAAAAUCUCAGGUGACUGAUCUCUAGCAAAACCGAUUUAUAAAUGAUGGCCAACCAUUUACAACUCAAACGAACAAUGUCCUCUCUAUGCAGAUGUGACUAUGCACCAUUGCGCUCUCUUAUGUACCAUGGCACUCUCUUCCAGCUGCCUUCCUUACUCUUUGAUGUGCAUUUUCUAACUCCACUCUCACGUGUAAGAAUACAGAGAAUAUGAACCGGACAAAGUAUCUACCUGAAAGCCCCAAAGGGUGAAAAUUAUUCUCCCUGUUCCCAUACAAAGAACGUAUAUAUGUCACUUAAAGAAAUGUAUAUAUGUACAUCACUAUCAUAUAUGCACGUUUCAACAGCUUAUAUAUGCUUAUACAAUUGAGUCCCCAAGCGGGUGUAUGCAGCGGGAUGCAUAUCCAUCCCCAACUUUUAGUGGACAAUAGCUAGUGUUUUUUUGUUAAUCGCCACUUGUGUUUGUAGGCGAGAAACGAGCAACACUGAUAUUUUCGAACUGAUACAACAUGUGUGUUCUGAAAAUUAGGUUGACAGUCAUGGAUCUAAACUAUGUGGGUAGAUAUAUGCUCAUGGACAGGGUAGCAUGCACGGUCCAUGCAACAAACAACUCAAUUGCAUUAAAACUGAAGCCAUAAUCUGCUUGUUAUCCAGAUUUGCUUACACUUGGUUUUAGUAGUGAUAGCAUUUGGAUGGAUUCACGAUGCUCAGAAAGCAGCAUUGCAAAACUAGUAAAAAUGCUUAUCCCCUGUUAGUAUGAAUGCACAGAACACAAAGCAGCAAGCAAACCGUCAGAUGCAUCUAAUUUACUGGAGCAAAUUGCAGAGUAUUCAGGCUGAAACAGAUGCUGGCAGAGAGCGUAGCGAGGGAGGCCAGCGAGUAUCCAUGCAUCGACUUUCCCUCCGUCGAGUAAGUAUAUAUUCAAACACUCCAGCAUAUAUGAAAUUAAAAGUAUGUGUCAAAUCUAAUUAGCUUAAACAUGCCGCGAGAUACUUCAAAAGAGCAGCAAAAUUAUGCUAAGAAAAGGAAAGAUUAUAAAACAAAGGGAAAAUGUAUGAUAUGUCGUGAAUAGCUCCGUGGAAUAAAAUAGAAUUUCCUUAUGCAUAGAACUUUUUUACCCAUCGGUCAGUAGAAAUUAUGAAUUGCUGUAAUGGAUCUUUCUAUUUUCUAUUUUUCUAUAUAGUAGAAUAUAAUGGCUCUUUCUUACGAUACAAGAGUUUCUUACAGGAGUGAAACAAAACCAAAGAAAAAGAAAAAAGAAUAACGUUUGACAAAAUGAUCGAUGCAAAAUGAUCAAUUAAAGAAAAGACUUGAUACAACAAUUCGAUUACUCAAUCAAUUAGUAGUAGUAUCCCUAGAGUCCACUCCUCCCCCACACCACUAGUGAAAGAGAAAAUGUAAAGACUACCAUUAAAGCAGCCCAAGCAAGACUUACUAUAUCCAUCUAAAUUACGUCUCCUUUUUCUAUGAAGGUUUUUCUACUAUUGAUCAAUAAUCAUAGCGGAAUCAAGGGUACAGAGUCAAAAAGGGAUUCUGCCCUAAGGCUAUGGAUCAAUCAGUUCCAAGAAUUUACUCCUAACAAAUUAUUAUAGGAAUUCUGGUAGAAUUAGAGAACAUUAAAUAUAAAUGCGAUACAUAGCCCUUUCUUUUCCGUAAAAAAGAAUACGGGAAUGAUGUCCUGAAUAUAAGAAGCGGGAAUAGGAAGAUUUUUUUAUUCCUUUUGUUACUCUUUUUUUAUAAGUAAAGGAACGCCUGAAUAUACCAUAAAAUUAUGGAUAGGAUAGAUAAAU